rnacentral:lncRNA from 1 species
CGCAAGAGCCUUGAUUCUUGACUGGUGUGACGGCACCGUAAUCCCUCCAAUCAAUGCUUUGAGGUAUCGCGGACAUGUUUACAUCCUCAAACGACACCGAUGGCUCUAAAUUUGUCAUAUUUAGAGGAAGAGAUAGACCGACAUGCUGAGCCACAAUUUCAUUAUUUGUCAUGUCAGCGAAUUGGUUAAUGCCCAGAGUAUACGAGUUUCCGCCACGCCUGUUAAAGGCUUCGAUGCGGUUUACAUUGUCUUUAAAGAUCUCAAAACGGCGCAUCUUCUCAGCAUCGUCACUGUAAACUCGGCCGAAAUCAGCCAUCCAUUCUUCAAACCUCUUCAUCAUCGAAUCAUCUGCUUCGCCGCGAGAAGCCAACGACGAAGCCCACAUCACAGAAAGAAACAAAAAAAGAAACAAUAUUUGGAAUUUGGAAGCCAUAGCUCUGACUUACAAAUGCUUUUGUUGCUGAGAGUUAGGCUCUCCGCAUCGAGUUUAUAUAGAAGUUCUCGGCCCAUGCACUAAAGUUGCUGGACCAUUAAAUNUCGAAUCAUCUGCUUCGCCGCGAGAAGCCAACGACGAAGCCCACAUCACAGAAAGAAACAAAAAAAGAAACAAUAUUUGGAAUUUGGAAGCCAUAACUCUGACUUACAAAUGCUUUCGUUGCUGAGAGUAAGGCUCUCCGCAUCGAGUUUAUAUAGAAGUUCUCGGCCUAUGUACUAAAGUUGCUGGACCAUUAAAUUUUAAUUUUUUAAAAACUUUUUUUAGAGGAAAAGAUACAACGUGCAUGUGAUGAAAUCAUUAAUUAAUUUCUCUCUUAUCCAUUGUUCGAUAGGAAAGUCGCAAUCAAGAGAGGUACAACUUUUCACUCCGUACGCGAGAGUUAUAGUGGCUGAGCUUGCCCCUCCAUGUGUGUUGACGUACGUCGUUGCAUGAUUGAUAAUACAGCAUGCGUUGCACAACAGGAAUUAAAAAUACAGCAUGUGCAUGCGCAACAGGAAUUAAAAAAUACAGCAUGUGUCGCACUAUAGGAAUAAGAAUAAGAGCCGCACAUAAUUUUAAAAUGAUAUAUGUACAUUAACAAAUAUUAUUAUUGUUUACAAUAGCUCUUUUUCUUUUUUUUUUCUUUUUUUUUUGAGAGGAAUCUCAUCAAAAAUAGAGAAUUGUCUAGAUAUCUAUCGUUUCCUGAUGUGUCGAUAUGUUGAAGGUGUUUUGGAUUAUAGUGGCGUUGGACCACAACAUACAUGUGAGUAGUUUAGAUAUCAUGUUAUUUUCUGUAGAUAUUUAAGAUUUCGAUAAAUUGAACUACAUGUCUCUAUUUUUUAAAAAAUUUGAUAUAUAUUUAAGACAUGACUCUUUCAAUUAUAUCAUGCUAGUUCUUAUUCUGAAUAAAAAAAAGGGCUAAAUUUUUUCUGAGUAGAUUUUUCUUUUUUCUUUUUCUUUUCUCUCUCUCUCUCUCUCUCUUUUGAGACCUAGUAGUCUUAUAUUUUGUAGCUAAGUUUAUUUUCGAAAUGAAUGAAGCAGAUAGCUUGCUAUCUUUUUCUCAAAAAAAAAAAAAAAAAAAGCUUAAAUUGAAUCAGUCAAACCUAUCCCCUGCUGUGUAUCAGUUACAACCUCAAUUUUAAAUAUGUUGAAAGGCAAAUUGCACUAAUAAUCUCAACAAACUUCUAUUUUUAGUCCUCAAUUUUAAGUUUUCAAUAUUUGGGACUCGUGACUAUCCAUUCUAGUGCUUAGUUAAAAAAAGUAAAAAAUACAAAAAAUUACGAGCAAAUUAAGCUAAAUUGUAGAAAAGCUCCUUACAUAUGUUGGAUUUUACACUUUUUCUUCAAUAUUUAAACUAUCAGCCAAAUCAUUAUAUACUUUACAACCACUCGCACCAAUAUAAAUUAAGAAGCGAAAAAAGUUCUAAUAUCGUGUUAAAGAACUGAAUCUAAUCAAAACAAAGUCACGGUAAAGAUAACUCUCACAUUAGAUGUACUAUUUAAUAUUAUCUAAUAAUAUAACCAAACAAGUACUCUAUAGAUGAGCGUACAUGCUAUCAGAAGCAGUCGAUGAGCUUCCCGUGCCUUCCAAGUCGUUUUGACUGUUGCGACUUGCGAAUCGUCGAUCGACUCCGUUAAACUUGAUCUAGAGUAUUUGAAGUACCUAGAAAAUAAAUUUUAUGAUUUUACGAUAUCAUUUGCCUAGUGAACGAAGGAGCUCAAAAUCAACGGCUGAAAAUAAAAAUCUUACAAAAUAUAAUAAUAUGACAUUAAAAUUUUAAAUCAAAGAUAUUUAUCUUGUUUUAUAUAGUAUAAAGAAUUUUCUAUCAAAAUUUCACGUGAUUUGGAUAUUUCUACACCGUUAAACUUGCAAACGGCUCACUACGGCCAUUGAAAUUUGUUGAUUUUGAGCCCAUUCGAUCACUAGGCAAAUAAUAUCGAAAAAUAAUAAAAUUUAUUUUCUAGGUACUCCAAAUACUCUAGAUCAAGUUUAACGGAGCCGAUCGACGAUUCGAAAGUCGCAAUAUCGAAAACGAGUUGGAAGCACGGAAGGCUCCGUGCUUCCGAUAUCAUAGUAGCCUCACUCCUCUAAUAAUAUAAUUUUGUAUUUUGUAUUUCAAUUAUAUAUACUUUCCAUAUUGACCCUCACAUUACCCCAUAAAUAUUCAAAACAAAUAAAUCUACAAAAAUAUUUUUUUUUGAGAUAUUUUUGUAUCAUAAUGUUGCAUGUGCAUGUGCAUGUGCAUGACUUUUCAAAUUGCCUGGGACAAAAAUAUUAUAUGUUUGGGGACUUUGCGGAUCGGCGCCACGUGGUCGAUUCAAUGGUCACGGAUCUCAGUUGCUUUUUCUCUCUCUCUAAAAACACAGAAUUUUUUUUUUGUCUUUCCAUCCGUGGCCAUCGGAUCGGCCACGUGGCACCAAUUUGCAUAGUCCCAAACACAUGCCCAUAAAAUUUUUGUACAAUUGUCUGGGGGCCAUCCCAAUAAUUUUGCAGCCAACGCAUUCAAUGCGGUGACAACUUAAAUUUAAUUAUUGGAGCAAGAAAAUGUGAAACCCUUAAACUUUAAGCGACUUUGAAAUAGCUCCUCAAUAUGGUUUUUCCCUCAUUGCCAUGUUUUAUAUUAGUUUAGGGUGUGUUUAGUUCUACCUAAAAUUGUUCCAAUUUUUUUUUUUCGGUUGAAAAGUAAAAUCUCAAAACAGAACCAGAAACCAUAAUGUCGAAGCAAACAACAGAACCAGAAACCAUAAUGUCGAAGCAAGCUUAGCAAUUGGAUGCAGCAAACAUCCAUAUUUAUGCAAGUUAAGCAAACAAGAUAGCAAACUGCAGUGUUGCUAAAUCAUUUGCUUCCCACUUAUUAAGAUGAGCACAAUGUCGAAAAAAUAUUAUUAUUAUACUUUCAAAAAUACAAUUAAUUUAUUAUUGAUAAUGUGGUAUAAAUAUGAUACGGUAAAUUUUCUCAUCGUCAUUUGUUUGGACCGAUACGAUGUAAUCGGGAGGGGUACAACUUUCACUCUUACGCAAGAGUUAUUGCUGUUGAUGUGUUGUUUAUUGGGACAAAAGUUUUAUAGGCAUAGUGCUCAAACUAAUUAAUUUGGAGAUUAUGCGGACUGAUGCCACGUGGCCGAUCCGACGGCUACGGAUGGAAAAAAAAAAAAAAAAAAAUUCGUGAUUUUAGAGAGAGAAAAAAAAGCACGGAGAAUCCGUGCCCGUCAGACUGCCACAGGGCGGCCGUAUCCGCAUAGUGCCCAACCAAACUAAUUAAUUGAGCACUACAGCCCAUAAAAUUUUUGUCCGUUUAUGGAAUUAUUUUUUCAGGAGAAGAAUGACGCUAAUCUGCUACCAUAAUAAAGAGGGUGAAUUAAUAGCUACAAGGAUGAGGACAGCAACGUGUCACAGAAAGAGAGACAGAAAAAAAAACAACGAAAAAAAACAUAGGAAGGUAGUUUCGAUUACAAGACCCAAAGAAUGUUCCAAGAGUUUUAUUGGAAUGAUACGCGAAUCAUGUUUGCACAACGGGAGGAGGAGCAAAUAAGAGAGCAAGCAUAAAAAUUACAACGCGAUUCACGCUCUCUUAAAAUAUUAUAAAUAUUUACAAAAUACCUUUUAAGCGAAAAUAGUCCCAUCAAAACAUAUGUUGAGAGUUACAAAUAAGGACGUGUUUUGGUUCGCUUUUUUUUCGCGCCUGGAAUCAAACUUCGAAAUCGGAAUGGGUAAAUCACAUUUGUGGGUGUUGGUACGGCGGAGUGCCAUCCAAUUCCCGAUGCCCGAGUGGACAUGGAAUCCCCCAAUCACUCUCUUUUCAUUCCGCGGCUUAGGAGGCCGAAUUGAAAUUGAAUCCGACGGAAUGAUAUUUAAUUCGGAUUAAAUUUAUUUUUAAUUGUUUUUAAUUAAACAUAGAGUUAAAAUCAAAAUUAAAAAUAUAGUAAUUUUUAAAUUUAAUUUAAAACCUAAAUUAAAAUUAAAAUGUAAAUCAAAGUAUUUCGAAUACUAAACUUAAUGAAUUGAAUUUAAAAAUUAAAUUUUAAAAUUUAUAUAAAGUUUUAUUCAAAUUUAUUGCAACCCUAAAUUAAAUUUAUGAUUCAAAUUAAAAAUUUAAAUUUGUAAAUUUUAAGUUGAAUUUGAAUAAAUCUAAAUUUAUUUCAUAUUUUUAAUUCAUCACACUCACUUAAAGUUUAUUUUUUUAAAAAAAAUAGAUUUUAAAUUUGACAUUAUUCAAAUUUUGAUAUAAAUUUUAAUAUUUAAUUUUAAUUUGAAUUUAAAUUAUAUAUGAAAAGAUAAUGUUAGUAUAGUUAAUUGAUUACUUUUUAUAUCCACCUGAACCAAACACUGAAUAAGGAAUGAUUUAUGCGAUUCCGAUUCAAGGUAUUAAACCAAAUCAGGGAAUAGUAAGAGCAAUUAACAAUUCCGAUUCCAGCUUUUGGAUUCCGAUUACGCGAUUGCCGACUCCGAUUUUCGAACGACAAACACUGCCCUAUUACCAUUGACUUUUACCAUUGACUAUUAUAUAUCUAUUAAUAGUCGGCUUAAAUUUUUAUAGUGAUAUCAAUAAAAAGGGGGGCGACGAUAUUGCCCAGGCCAUUCAUUGAAGAGGACAUGACCCUACAUAUUUUUGAAAUGCCCUCUAAAUAUUUUAUGCAAUACAUUUAUAUCAUCAUGCAUCACAAUGAAUAAUUAAAAAUAAAAAUAAAAAUAAAAAUUAGAAUUAAAACUAAAAUUAAACUUUUAAUGUAAAUAAAAGUGCAAUCAAAUUUAAAUCUAAAUUUAAAUUGAAAUAAAUAAAACUAAUUCAACAUCUAAUUUGACAAGUAACAUUAGUGAAUUCUUAAUUGGAUUCAAUUGAAUUUUCAAAUUCGAAUUACAUUUGAGUGCAGCUAAGAUCAAAGUUUAAAUGAAAAUUGACCAAAUAAUGUAAGCUGAAAUGCAGCUAUUGCGUUACAAGUGCCUGGUAAUGCUUGAUAAGGAUAGUAAAGCGCGCUUCGACAGGUCACCCGUUGUUAGAUAUUAUGAAACGUAGCCUUGUCCACCCAACCGCCUGCACCCAUAGUCCGUAGUUUAAUAAUACAACAGCACAAUCGAGAACUUCUUUCUCCGAAAGAGAUACUAAUCCCUGCUUUGACUUGUAGAUCUCUUUCACUGUCGCAUAUUGCACUGAAGCCUGCAAAACCUAUGCAGAACAAAGUUUUACGUAGCAUAACUAACUAGAGACAAAGUUAUAUAAUGAUAUACGCAUGAACUAAGGAAACAUUCAAACUAACAUAAUUAACGUUAUUUGCAAGUACAGAGCGCUUUUAACUUGUUUAAGAUUUUGAGUGUUAUAAAAUUGUCACCUAAAAGAUAUUGGCGGUUUGAACUCUCAUACACGACAUGUUUCAAAAUUUAGAAAAUUAACUAGUAGAGGAAAAAGUACAGACUAGAGGAUCACAUUUCGGAAAUUCUGAAGAUGAUUUUUCGGCCAAUCCAGAUUCGCAGCACACAUUAGAACAAAAUAAUGAUUUGAACACUCUAACAAGAUAUAGCAGUGUUGCGCACUUUAAUAUGCACAAACAUAACUAUACGAAGUAUGUUGUAUACAUUAAAUUUACUAUGUCCAAAUAAUAGGUUAAAGAUGGAAUACGAAUGAGAUUGAUUUCUUUUUUUUCCGCUACAACUCAGUUAGGUUUUGUUCUUUUACAGUGGCGUCCGACCGCAAACAUACAUCAUACCGAUUAUAUACUCAGAUCCAAUUUUAUUCGAACCAGAUAAUAUAGAAUUUGUAAUGCACUAUAGUCCUAAAACCUUAAUUAGUUAGGCUAAAUAAGAAAAAUCCUCUUGUUAACCAUCUGUUUUCACUUCCUCCAUGCUGCAUUUAAAAAUCUAUAACCUUGCGCCCCCCUAAAAAUAAAAAAUAUUCAUAUUCGGUUCCUGCCGUCAGUUUCUAGUUGAGGUUCCAUUUCAUAUCUUAUUUUUGUAAUUCAAAAUAUUUCUGAAUUCUCAUCUACUAUCCACACACCAUGACCGCCUCGCUCUGCCCACUCCCCUUCAUAGCGUAGAUGCAUCCACGCCUGCUCUCUGCCGCCUGGAAUGACAAGAUUGGGGAACAGAAAUAAAGAAAAGUAGGAACAUUUGUUCAUCUUUAUCACACCAAUAUCAUUCUAUAAAUACGUUUUUAUUUUUCGAUAAAAAAAGCAAAGUAUCAUGAUUUUUUUUUAAAAAAAACAAGAAAAACGGCUUUGCUAAAGGUUUCAUAUAAUAGCCAUUUAAUUAAUGCGAGCAACAUUCGCAAACUGAAAAAUGCUAGAAUGCACGGUUAUAAUUAGUGACCGUACGCGGCAUAACAAACCAAUUACAUUAAUCCUUUUAAAAAUAUAUGUCCGCAUCAUGAAUGUAAAGAGUAUUUAUUGUACUUUAUUUUGAAAAGAUGAUAUGAUUGGCUUUUAUGAGACGUGGUGCAAAUGUGACAGUGAGAUUCCUCUUCCAAACAUAAGGCACGCCCUCAGCUCAAACAUUCCAAACUAGGUCCAAACGUUCUUCUUUUUUUAAAAAAAAGUUGAGUUUUGUUUUUAUUUUUUUGAUAAUUAGAUUAAAAUAUUAUAAGAUUUUUAUCAGAUUUUCCUGUGAUCCAUCAAAUUUAAACAGUUGACCAUUCUGCAUUGAACUUAAUAAUUACUAAAAUUCAAGAUAUAUUUAUCAAAUAUAUCAAAUAAAAAUUCAUAUAUUUACAUAGGCGAAGGUACGUAGGACGUAAUGCAUCCCAAAUGGAUUAACCAAGUUCAUCGCAUCGAAACCAAAACGCAUACUUAACAAAAAACGCGUCUUUUAUUUAGUAACUGCCAAAGAUGAAGAACCAUUUCGGUCAGAGAACACCUAAUAUUUUUAAGUAAGAUUCAAAAAACCUCCAUGUGAAUUCGUAGUUUCUCACUGUUGCCUCCCUGUGUUUAAAAUGUAUCAAUUGCUCCCCCGUGUUCUUUUUCUCUUUUUUAUCAUUGCAUUUAUUUUUUAUCUUAAUCAGUCUAAAGUUAAAAUAAAAGUAUAAAAUAAAUAUUUGAUAACUCUAGAUGGAUAUCUGAAGUUUUGUAUAUAAUUUGAUGAAAUAUUAAGAAAAACUACCAAAAAAUAAAAAUGAAACCACAGGGGGCAAUAUUGAUACAUUUUACACCACAGGGAGGUAAGUGAAAAACUACGAAACCAUAGAAGGGAGUUUUUGAAGUUUUUCUUUUAAAAAAAAAAAAUUAUUUAAAUAGACUAAUUUUUUUAAAAAAAUAUUAUUUAUUUAUGUAAUUCAAUGACUAUAAUUGUAAUAGAAUAAAUUUUCUCAUUUAUUGAAUAUUUUUUUAAAAAAAAUUUUUUUUUAUUGUAAAUUUUUGAUCCGUCUGCUGAUCUCCAUCUAUUAUGGUCAGAAUUGAGAGAAAGCUAGAUACACAAGCCAUUGCAUAAGUUACAGAUAUGGUGUGGCUCAGUCGAGUAGGUUAACGGCAAACCCUUAUUUCCACCCAUAGUUGGCCGCACAUACACAAGUUGCAUUGCAUAAAGAGACCAUGUGAUCCAUUUAUAGUACUAACCAAGGCACACUAGUCCACAUAAAUGAAGGACACAUCAUUAUAGAUUUCAAACUUAACAUACUGAUAGAGACACACCGGAAACAAAACAGAAACCCACAAUGUCGAAACAAGCUAGCACUUGAUGCACGCAAAAUCCUUAUUUAUGUAAGAAACGCAAAUAAGUAGGCAAACUAGCAGGUCGAAAAAAUCAUUUGCUGUUCCGACUUAUUACGUAGCUUCAAUUUCAGAAACCCAUCUUAAUAACUUCGGCAUUAGCCCUGAUUGGAAGUAGGAAUAGAGGAGACAUGCGAUUCCACAUACUCCAGAAGACGAUACACAACUCUGCCCAUAACGACGUAUCCACUUCUCCCCCCAUGACUGCCCCCACGAGUCCUUACUAUCUAAUAUUUUUAGUUCCACGGCUAUCAUGCCCGUACCUAUAAUGGUAAUGGCAUGAUUAGAGACUAGUUCACACAGGUCCGGCGCUAAACACAACCCCAUUGUAAAUUGAAAGUUUCACUGGCAUCGAUAAGAGCACUAUGUUGAUUCGACACAGCGCGUACAUAUGCUGCGUCAAUCGUUCCUUCGCACAUAUGAAUAACCAGUAAUGUAAGCUGAAUUAGAACAGCUAUUGGCGUUUGGCAAGUGCCAUUGAGCUAUGCUUGAUAAGGAUAGUUUUUCGUGGUCACACCGUUGUUUAUGAUAUGAUGAAAUCGAGGCCUUGUUCACGAAACCUAGCCGCCUUUGCAACCGCUACUACAGCACAUCGAGGAACUUCUUGCUUCCGAUAAAGAUACUAAGUUACCCCUGUUUUAUCUGUAGAUUCCCUCACCGUCGCAAUUGCACGAAUGACCAGCAAGAACCUAUGCCAAACAAAAGAUACGCGUUAGCAUAACGACGAAGCAAAGUUAUAUCUGAGAUGCAAUGAUAUAACGAAUAUCCUCACAACUCAACAAUAAUAUAAAUGUUUUUGGCAAUACAGACUGCUUUUAACUUUAUUUCAAACGGUUUGUCAAGGCAUAUGGAGUCCUGUUCUUUUUGACUACAACGACUUUGGCUUACUUUAUAUAACUGAUUAUGGCAUAACUCAAUUAAUAGUAAGAGAACUCAGCAAAUAGAGCUAAUUGCAAAUAGAUUGAAUCAAGUCGAAGCCUGUGAACAUUGUCCUUGAAUCCUUAAAUGCGAUGGAUGUGUCCUUUUUAUCACCAUGUAUGUAUUUUUGGAUAGUUAAUUAACACUUAUAUAUACAUUUGAUGGCUAAGUUGAUUUUUUAUUAACUAGAUUCAAUACUUCAUUUCUUUGUACAUUGAUAAUGUGUGAUUAUACAUGUUUAGACACUUUUAAUCAGCCAAAGUAAUGGAAUUAUUGAGUUUUAGUGGGCGGAAAUUUGGUCCUUUUGUCCAGAAAAGGCAGAAGGCAUUCGGUAGCAAGCAUAUUUGAUCUAAGCAACAUGUUAGCAGCAUCUUAUAAAGUUAACUAAGAAUAAUUUUUUUUUCUUUUUUCUAGUUGAAGAAAUGAAGUUGCAUUGACAAUUUAUAGUCUAAAUUAUUUCUUACCACAGGGGUUUUGAUUCUUGACCUCGUUUACGGCACCAUAGUCUCUCCAAUCAAUACUUUGAGGCACCGCGGAGAUGUUUACGUCAUCAAAUGACACCACUGGCUCUCUCUCGAUAUUUAGUGGGAGAGAUACGCCGGUAUAUUGAGCAACAAAUUCGCUUUUUGUCAUAUCGGUAAACUGAUUGAUACCGAGAGUGUACGAAUUUCCGUUGCGACUGUUAAAGGUUUCGAUAUGCUUCACGUUGUUCUUGAAUAUCUGAAACCGGCGCAUCUUCUCGUCGUUGUCCUUGUAAACUCGGCCAUACUCCGCCAUCCAUUCUUCAAACCGCUUCAUCAUGGGAUCACUGGGUUCGUCACGAGAAGCUGCCGAUGGCGAAGCCCACAUCACACAGAGAAACAUGAAAAGAAACACGAGUUGAACUUUGGAAGCCAUGCUUAUGUAGCACUAAAUAUGUAUGAGGAAAUUGGAGAUGGAGCUACAAGAGCUUUUGGUGCUGAGAGUAUGGUGUCAAGAUCGAGUUUAUAUAGAAGUUCAUGCCUUGGAAUGUAGGUGCGAGAAUUAUUGUGUGGGGGCCUACAAGAUGUCACAAAUCGCCAUCAAAUUAAGAUUAAAUAGUUCUGGACCGCUUGCGGCACCACGUCAUGUGGUCACUAGUGUAGUGAUUUGCUUAUUACGUCGGGCAAAUACUAUUGACAUAAAAAUUGGUACAAAAUAAAAUAUCAGUUUAGUAUGAAAAAAUAGUAAAUAUAGUUUAUAUUAUAAACAAACACUUCUAAACAAAAUAAAACUAAAAUGAAAAAAAAUUAAUCAUUCCAAUAAAAUUAUUCAAGCUUGUUAAAAAAAAUCGCAUAUCAUACAAAUGGAUGAUUAAAAUUAUUUUUAACUUGGGAUGUCUCCACCAGAUGGAUGCGAGGCAGAGACUCAUUGUCAGGAGCAGCAAGAGCACUUUUCGACUUAUGCUUUGUUGGAGCUUGUUGGGAACUUUGGAAGGAACGGAAUUCACGGAUCUUUUAGCAACCAACACUCGACGUACGACGAACUAGGAAGGAUUGUUGUUUCCAUCGUAAAGUUCUGGGAAUCUAUUUUGGGGUCCUAAUUGUGAAUCGUUUUGUUUGUUUUACCCUGUUAAUUAGUGGUCCUGUUCUGUUAAUUAGUGGUCCUGUUGUGCUUUCUGAAGUUAGCUCAAGGGGCCUUCUUAGGGAAAGCCAAGCUAGCUCUGCUAUCUUAAGAUGUAUUCUCUGUUUCAAAUAUAGUAUAUUCCUGUUUAAUCAAAAAAAAAAUAUUUUUAUAAUACAAUAAUCAGAUAAAAUAUCAUAUAACAGUUGAUAUGACUAAAAAAAACUCACAAUAACUGACCGUUCCUAGAGCAAGUGGCAAAGGGCUUGGUGAUUGGUACCCGAGGUCCCAAGUUCGAAUCCUAGUUGAUUCACAUUUCCAGCUAAGUUUAUUUCUAAAUGAAAUAAACGAAGCGGGUAGCAUGCUACCUAUCUAAAAAAAAAAAAAAAAAAAAAACUCACAAUUAUACGCAAGACAAAUACUAUAUAUAUAAACAUAUGUAAUUCGGUCUAUCGACAGACUAUUUUUUAGCGGAAAAAAAAAUGAUUCACUUCUUACUAAAAUAAAUAAUGUAAUGAAAAAAACUUUUAAUACUUUUUAUCAUCUAAAAUAGAAAAAAAUAUACUUAUUCAAAAUUUUGUCAACCGAAAGAUAUUACUAUAAAUCUAUAUUUUAAUUCAAAAUUAUUUAAUAUUUUUUUAUCUCUAAAAAUAAAAAAAUUCAUACUAUUCAAAUUUUUGCUACAAUAUCUAAUGUAAAUCUAUAUUUCAAUUCAAAAUUUAAAAUUAAUUUAAAAUUUAAAUUUAAAAUUUGAGAACUAUCAACAUAUUAAAAUAAUUUUAAAUAUUUUUUUUUCCAUAUUAUAGUGAACGAUUAUACUUAAUUACCAUUAGAAAAUAAAGAAGUUACCUUAAUUUAUAUGAUUUUACUCCAACCACUUUCAUCUACUAGCAUGCUCCAGUUCCCAAAUGUGUCUAAAUUAGAAGACAAUCCAAAUAUGAAAGCGACGAUUAGAAGUUGACAACUAAAGUUAAUUUAAUCGUUAAACUUCAAUUUACUCUCCGCUGAUUUUAGCUUAUUUUUUUAAAAUUUGAUUUUUACUGUAGUUCAAAAUUGCCUUAAUUAUCAUAUAAUUUUAUUUUUAUUUUACCGAUAGAAUUUGACAUAAGUUAGCAAAGUAAAUUUUUUUUAAAAAAAAUCAUAAAGUGAUAUCUGCUUACCAAUAAAUUCUUACAAUAAAAUAAAAAUAAUAUUAGUAAAAUAGUUAAGUAUGUAUAACUUUUCAAACCACGUAAAAAGUGAAUUAAAAAAUAUUAAACAACAGUAAAAAAAUUAAAAUUACUCGAUCCCAAUUCAUUCAUUUUCUUCAUCCAAAGAUUCUACAAUCUCAUUCUCUCAACGACAUUCGAGUGCAAAUUAAACAUAUACAUGUUACACCAAAAGUCAAAUCAGGCAUUAUAAUUUUUUUAAUAUAUAAAUUUUUAAAACUUUAUAAAAUUAUAUCAAAUAAAUUAAAUUUUAAUUUCAAAUUUUUUAGAGGAAAAGAUAAUUAGUUACACAUUUUGUUCAUUUUGAGAUUUUUUUUUUCCCCAAGUAAAACCUAAUAAGUGAUGUAGUGCCGGCAUGCAUAUGCUGAUCCUUGAAAAUUUUUAAGUAUCGUUUGGUUUGGAAAUAAGCAAAAAGUGGUUAUUCCAGGAAUAGGUAUAAAUUGAGGUAUAAGUAGGGGUUAUAUCAAUUUUGAGUUUGGAUGAAAAUUAGAUUUUUUUUUUUUUAGAAUAAAAAAAAAGUAUUUGGUUAGGUAAGAUGUAAUAAAAAUUUAAAUGGAUAGUUAUAAAUAAAAAAUAAUGAUGUUAUCAUUUUCUUUAUAUUAAAAUUUGAAAUUUGAAAUUUUAUAUUUAUAUUUUAGAAUAAAUAUAAACUUUUAAAUUUUAAAAUUUCAAAAUCUCAAAUUUACAAUUUUAAAAAUUUAAAAUUUAAAUUUUAAACUUUAAAAUUAAAAUGAAAUUUUAAUUUAAAAAUACAAAAUAUCAAAUUCUAAAUAUAAAAAAUUUAAAAUAUCAAAUUUUAAAAGUUAAAAUUAAACAUGAAUUUUUUUGUGUUUGGGGGAGCACGACGAGGGGGGACAGAGGAGCGAAGCGGAGGGGCGGGGGGUGAGGUGGUGGGUGUAUCUGCGUGUGUUGUGUUUUUAUAUAUGUAGGUGUAUUUUUUUGAUUUGGUUUAUUUAAAUUGUUGCAAUUAUUUUUUAAGUUACGCCUAUGGAUAACAAUACUGCGCCAAUUUAAAAAAAUUCUUUAAUUUGAUGGUCUGGCAGUAUGUCACAUUCUCGAUUGUUCGUAGCGUGUGCUUAUCAAUAUAACGACUACAUUUUAAGGACUAUCGUCUUAGGGUAUAACGGUGAGAAUAUCUCACAACUCAACGAGNNNNNNNNNNNNNNNNNNNNNNNNNCAGACUUUAUCAAAUUUAAUUUUAAUUUAAAAAUUUUAAACUAUUUAUGUGAUGUAUGCGGAUGAUGAAAAUAUUGAUAAAUAUCUAGAGGCAUUUUCAAGAAUUUGAAUAUCAACUAUAUAAAAUUUAUGAGACUCAAGUGAUAUAUAACAGGCAAUGGUAGAAUAAGUAUUUUGUAACUAUCACGAUUAUUUUGGAUUGAGACUAAUCGUUUAACGUGAGCCUUAAUUGACGGUAUAAAUAAUUUAUGAGAUUUUUCUUAUCACUCCUCCUCCUCCGUAUGCGCAACACGUGCUCCGGUAAUAAUUCCAAUACACAACACAUCCUGCAGUAACUCUUGUUACGGAGUGAAGGUUUGUCCGCCCCCUCAUUCUGAUUGCAUCUGUCAACGAAAAGGACGAACAAAUGCUUUCUAAUAAUAUAGGUACCUGCCGUUAUCUGUCCUAAAUAAAGGUUUUAUAGCUUUGCUUGCGAAAAUGUUUACUAUAUCAUACUUACAUCGCAUCACAAUAAUAAAUAUAUUAUAUAAUUUUUAAUAUAUAAUAAAAUUUUUUUAUAUUAUUAUAAUAAAUAAAUUUAAAAAAUUCUUAAUUUGAUUGUGGAGAUGUCACUUAUCAAUAUAACGGAUACAUUUAAGACUAUGUUCGGUUAGGGGAUAAGGUGGAAUUUAUUCACCCUCAUCCCCAAACACAAAAAAAUUCUUUUAAUUUUACUUUAAAAUUUGAUAUUUUAAUUUUUAUAUUUAGAAUUUGAUAUUUGUAUUUUAAUUAAAAUUUCAUUUUAAUUUUAAAGUUUAAAAAUUUAAAUUUUAAAUUUUAAAUUGUAAAUUUGAGAUUUUGAAAUUUUAAAAUUUAAAAGUUUAUAUUUAUUCUAAAUAUAAAUAUAAAAUUCAAAUUUCAAUUUAAUAUAAAGAAAAUGAUAACAUCAUUAUUUUAUUAUACUAUACCAUUUAAUUUUAUUACAUCAUACUAACCAAUACUUUUUUUUUAUUCUAAAAAAAAAAAAAUCUAAUUUUUCAUGCAAACCAAAAUAUGAUAUACCCCUUACUUAUACCUCAAUUAUAGCUAUUCUCUGGAAUAACAUUUUGAUUAUUUCCAAAGCAAACGAUACUAAAAAUUUUCAAGAUCAGCAUAAUGCAUGCCGCACUACACUUAUUAGUUUACUUUGGGGAAAAAAAAAAUCUCAAAAUGAACAAAAAUUUAACUAAUUAUUUUCCUAAAAAUUAUGAAAUUAAAAUUUAAUUUUAUUUGAUAUAAUUUAUACCAGUUUAAAAAUUAUAUAUUUAAAAAAUUAUAAUGCCUGAUUUGACUUUGGUGUAACAUGUAUAGUUGUAUAAUUUGCACUCGAAAUGUCGUUGAGAGAAUGAGAUGUAAAUCUUUGGAUAAGAAAAGAAAUGAUUGGAUCGGUUAAUUUAAUUUUUACUGUUGUUUAAUAUUUUUAAAUUCAUUUUACGUGUUGAAAAGAUAUACAACUUAACAUAUUACUAAUAUUAUUUUUAUUUUUAUGUAGGAAUUAUUGUUAAGCAUGCUACACUUAUGAUUUUUUUUAAAAAAAUUACUUUCUAACUUAUGUAAUUCUAUGGGUAAAAUAAAAAUAAAAAUUAUAUAAUUAAGUGCAAACUUUCGAACUGCAGAAAAAACAAGGAACAAUCUACUAAAUCAGGGAGAGUAAAUUGAAGUUAACGAUAAAUAACUUUAGUUGCUAACUUCUAACUCGGCUUUCAUAUUUUUGGAUUUGUCUUCUAAUUUAGACACAUUGGGGAACUGCGAGCAAUGCUAGUAGAUGAAAGUGGUUGGAGUAAAAUCAUAUAAAUUAAGGUACAACUUCUUUAUUCUAAUGGAUAUAAGUAUCGUUCACUAAUAUGGAAAAAAAAUAAUUUUAAAUAUUUUAAUAUGUUGAUAGUCCAAAAUUUAAAUUUAAUGUUAAUUUUAAAGUUUUGAAUGGAAAAUAUAGAUUUACAUUAGAUAUUGUAAAAAACAUUUGAAUAAGUAUGAAUUUUUUUAUUUUAUAGAUAAAAAAUAUAAUAUUUGAUUAAAAAUAGAUAUUAUAGUCAAUAUCAAUUCGGUUGACAAAAUUUGAGAUAAGUAUAUUUUUUCUAUUAAGAUAAAAAGAUAUAUAAAAGUUUGUUUCAUUUACAUUAUUCAUUUACGUAAGGAAGUAAAUCAUUUUUUUUCCUGUAAAAAAUACGGUCUGUGAUAAAUUAGAAAUAUGUUGUAUCUUGCGUAUAUAUAAUGUAGUUUUUUUUUUUUUUUUUUGAUAGGUAAGCAUGCUACCAUCGCUCGUUAUUCAUUAGAAAUAAACUUAGCGGAAAUGUGAAUCAACUAGUCGAACUUGGGACCUCGGUACAAUCAUCCCAAGCCCUUUGCCACUUGCUCUAGGAACGGUCAUUAUUGUGAGUUUCUUUUAGUCAUAUCAACUGUUAUAUACUAUAUUUUAUCUGAUUAUUGUAUUAUAAAAAUAUUUUUUUUUGAUUAAAACAGGAAUAUAUAUAUUUGAAACAGAGAUACAUCUUAAGAUAGCAGAGCUAGCCUUGCUUCCCUAAGAAGUCCCUUGGACUAACUUCAAGACAACAUGACCACUAAUUUAUAUUAAUCGAACAGGACCACAUUAACAGGGUAAAACAAACAAAAACGAUUCACAAAUUAGGACCCAAAAUAGAAUUCCCAGAACUUAGAUGAAACAAACAAUCUUCCUGAUUCGUCGUAGCGAUGUUGUUUCUAAAGAUCUUAUUCCGUCUCAAAGUUCCCAAACAAGCUCCAACAAGAGCAUAAGUCGAAAAGUCGCAUCUUCUGCCCUGACAAUGAGUUCUCUGCUCGAUCCAUCUUGUGGUAGACAUACUCAGUUAAAUAAUUUUAAAUCAUCCAUUUGUGAAUCGAAGCGAUUUUAAUCAAUUUAAAUUUUAUUGGACAUAUAUUUUUUUCAUUUGUUUUAUUUGUUUAGUAAGGUUUGUUUAUAAAUUAAAUAUAUUACUAUUUUUUCAUACUAAAAACUGAUAUUUAUUUUUACAAUUUUUAAUGUCAAUAUAAUUGCCCGACGUAAUAAAGCAAAUCACUACACUAGUGACCACAUGCGUCGGGUGCCGCAAGCGGUCCAAACUGAUUUAACUAAGUUUUGAUGCGAUUGGUGACAUCUUGGUAGCCCCACACAAUAAUUCUCGCACCUACUUCCAAGGCCAUGAUACUUCUAUAGUAAACUCGAUCUGACACAUACUCUCAGCACCAAAAGUCUUGUAGCUCCAUCUCAAUGUUCACCAAUACAUAUUAGUUGCUACAUAAGCAUUGGCUCUCCAAAGUUCAACUCGUUGUUCUUUUCAUGUUUCUCUGUGUGAUUGGGCUUCGCCAUUUUCGUCAGCUCUCGGACUGAACCCUAGUUGUAUUCUCCAUAUGAUUGUAACGGUUAUAAUUUGAGAUAUGGAUGGCGAGUAUUGGCGAGUUUACAAGGACAACGACGAGAAGAUUGCUCGCGUUUCAGAUAUUUCAGUAACAAGCGUGGAAGCAUUAUCGAAACCUUUACACAAGUUCGCAACAGGAAUUCGGUACACUCUCGGUUCAAUCAGUUUACCGAUAUGACAAUAAAGCGAACUUUGUUGCUCAAAUAUUAACUGGCUAUCUCUCCCACUAAAUAUGAGAGGAGAGCUAGUUGUGUCAUUUGAUGGACGUAACACAUCUCCGCGGGUGCCUCAAAGUAAUUUGAUUGAGAGAGACUAUUGGUGCCUAAACGAGGUCAAGAAUCAAAACCCCUGCUGGUAAGAAAUAAUUUAGACUAAUAAUUUCUGCAACUUCAUUUCUUAACAGAAAAAAGAAAAAAAAUUAUUCUUAGUAACUGUUAUAAGAUCUGCUAACAUGUUGCUUAGUUUUUUAUUCUUCCCGAAUGGCCCCUUCUGCUUUCUGGACAAAAGGACCAAAUCCGCCCACUAAUUUUCUGCUGAUAAAAGUUCUAAACAGUAUAAUCAUUUUUAUUUCAAUGUACAAAGAAAUGAAGUAUUGAAUCUAGUUAAUAAAAAUCAUCUUAAGCCAUCAAAUGUUAUAUAAGGUAAUUCACUAUCCAAAAAAUACAUUUUGGUGAUACAAAAGGACACUUUUUAUCCAUCGCUUUUAAGUGAUUCAAGACAUAUGUCCUACUUCGACUUGAUCAAUCUAUUUGCAAAUUAGCUUAUGCUGUGUUUUUUACUAUUAAUUAAAGUUAUCAUUUAAUCAUACCUACUAAAGUAAGCAAAGUACGUGUUAGUUCAAAAAACAGGACAUCAAUGCUGAAACCGUUUGAAAACAUUUUUUAUAUCAAGCAGCUCUGUACUAAAUUUUAAUUAUGUUAGUUAUUUUAUAUUCAUAGCAACUCAGAUAUAACUUUGCUACUUUUUUUACGCGUAUCUUUGUUUUAGGCAUAGGUUCUGCUGGGUCAUCGCUGCAAUUGCGACGGUCGCGAUUGGGAUAUUCUACAAGAAAAACAGGUAUUAGUAUCUUUAUCGGAGCAAGAAGUCUCGAUUGUGCUGUUUUUAUUUUGGCGUGUGGUAUACUAUGCUUAGCUGUGUAUUCAUAGUUCUGAAUCAUCUUUCACAGAUCUGAAUUUAAAUUUUAAAUUUGAAUUCAAAUUUUGAACUUAAAAUUGUAAGUCAAUUUUAAAUCUAAAUUAAAUUUGAAAUUCAAAUUCAAAUUUAUAUUUUGAAUUUGAAUUUCAAAAUAAAACUUUGAAAUUAAAUAUAAAACUAAUUAAAAAUCUAAAUUCACUACAUGCAAGAUAAUUAAAUUAUGGGGACAUAUGUUUGGAAUAUUUUUAUAUAAGUGCCCUAUUUAUGUCAAAACUUUAAAAAUAAUCUAUUAAUGCCUAAAUAUAAAGCCCAAUCCAUUCUCCGGUAAACUAAGAUUAUCGGACCAAUUUUCAUAUUGUAAUGAAUCGAUUGUAACCUAAUUCUUAUAGUCCAUUAAAAAAUAAAAAAGUGAAUAUUUAAAUGAUUUUACAGUAGUUCUUAAGUUAGAAGACGACCCAAAAUAUGCAAUGGCGGAGUUCGGAGCUGGUAACUAAAGUUAAUUUAAUAUGUUAACUUCAAUUUACCCCGUGAUUAAGUAGAUUUUUUCCCUUUUUCCUCCGAUGCUUCAAAAAUUCGCCGACAGAACCCAACGUCAGUUACCAAAGUGAAUUUUUUUAAAAAACUUAUAGCAUACUAUGCUCUUUAACAAUAAAUUCUUACAAUAAAAUAAAAAUAAAAUUAUAGAAUACUGAAGUAUAACUCUUUAAGCCAUUGAAUGACAAAAAAAAUAUAUAUAUAUAUAUAUUAAACCACAAUGAGAAAAAUUGAAAAUUAUCCUACUUUUUAGUUCAUCAUACUAACUCCAUACCUACAAGCUCAUGUAUUACACCAAAAAUCAAACCAUCAUGUAUUAUAUAUUUUUUUAAUAUAAAAAUCUUUUAAACUCUAUAAAAUUAUAUUACAUUAAAUUAAAUUUUAAUUUAAAAUUUUUGGGAGGAAAAGAUGCAGUUUUCAGUUUCGUUCAUUUUACGAUUUUCUUCUCUUUUUUUCCUUUUUGAAGUAAAACGUAGAGACUUGGUGUAUCCUAAUGUUCAUGCGAUGAAAUCAUUAAUUUCUCUCUUGUCCAUUAAUUUUUUGAGAGAAAGGUACCUGCUUUAUUCAUUAAAGAAAAAAUUAAACUACACGAUUAAGAUAAAGGAAUCUCCGAAGUAGACCGAAAAAAUGAAAAAAAAAAUAAUUAAAUUUACAAAAACAUAUAACAAAAAAAAAUUUAAAAAAAAGGAUAUGCUCGUUUAAACACUCUAUUCUUCUCCCACUGAAGCAUCAAACAUCUGAUCGAUUUGACAGCUAGUAAAGAAUUAGUAUUAGCCAAUCUAUAAAUAACGGUGUUUCUUACUGUUCAGAUAACUCACCAAUUUUUUUUUUUGAAAAAGAUAACUCACCAAUUGACUGUGAGUUUUGUAAAUCUGUUUCUAACAUUCUGAGCACUAUCCCUUCCCAUGCUUCCACUUAUCCCAUACUAACCUCUCUUGUCCUUUGCUGGAUCGGAAAGUUGCAAUCAAGUUUGUCCGUUUCUCUCCCUGUUGGAGAGCAGUCAGAUUUUUUUUUUUUGGUGCACCCGGUGCACUAGUUUUGUUUUAAAAUUUUAUUUUUUGUUUUUUAAUUAUAAUUUAAUAAUAUAUCUCAUGAUUUUAAAAAUAUAUGUAAAAUAAUUUAGAAUUUAGGAUUUAAAAUUCUUUUGCAUAUAUUUUUUAAAUAUCAUAAAAUAUAUAUCUGUUAUAUGAAAUUAAAAUUAAGAUUAAAAUUAAAAUUUUAAAGUAAAAAAUGAUGCACCGGUGCACCGAAAAAAACCCGCUGUGUCCCGAGAGGCAGAGCAGUCGGGACGGUGGCCCGCGUGGCUCGGGUGCCAUGCGGCGCCCAUCCAGUGUCCUCAAAAAAAAAGGAGAAUUAAUGGGUGGAGCCCAACAAGUUGGUACAAAUCGCCAUUAAAUUAAGAUUAAAUAGUUCGGGACCGCUUGCGACACCAUGUCAUGUGGUUAUGAGCUAAUCACAAAAAUAUUUAAGUUUCUCUACUUGUCUCAUAUUUAAAUUUUAUAAUUUUUUUUAUAGGACAUACAAUAACGAAAUAGAUCUGGACCCUGUUAAAGAUAAAAAUAUAUAAACAUUAUUCUCUAAAAGUUUAAGCUUUUAGUAUCGUUUGGUUCGAGGAUAAGCAAAAAGUGACUAUUCCAGGGAUAGGUAUAAAUUGAGGUAUAAGCGGGGAUUAGAUCAAUUUUGCGUUUGGAUGAAAAUUGGAUUAUUUCUGAAAAUAAAUAUAAAUAAUAUGUAUUAAUAUAGUACAAUUAAUAAUUUUAUAAUAAAAAUAAUGUAUUAUAAUAUAUAACAUAUUAUAUUUAUAUAAUUAGUUUUAAUUCAAUUUAUAAUUUUAAUUAAAUUUGAAAUUAAGCAUUAGAAUAGUGCUAUUCCACCAAAAUGGUGGAAUAGCAAAUCCCUUGCUAUUCCGGAAUAACCGGAAAUAGCAAGGUUUGACCGGGAUAAAAUAUCCCGGCCAAAUUUCAUCCCAUUUGGCGGAAUAGCGGGGAUAACUUUUGUUAUCCCCGCUUAUCCCCCAACCAAACGGGGCCUUAAGGAAUUCACAUUGUGAUUGUUUGAUUGAUGGAUGGCCAUUACAUUGAAAUUGGUCUAUGCACUCUGUUUGGUUAAAACUAUUUGAGUAGUUCUCAUCAAGAAUCCCUACACAUUUUUUUUAUUAUAUUCAUUUCCUACUUUUAUUCUAUCUCUCCACACACACACACACACACACACACACACACACACCCCCUUCCCACCACCCCCUCCAAAUUUGGCUGAUAUUAAUGAAAAGGAAUUAUAACUAGUUGAGAGGAGAUUUUCGGCACUUUAGAAAAUAAGUGUGUAUGUUUGCUCUACCGUGUUAAUUUACUGAAAUUACUGUCAUUGUACAGGGUUAUGUGUAAUUCCAGUUGUAAGAACCUUUAGAACACAUCAACUUGUGUCAUACGUUGUUACGCCUUUUUGACAAAACGUAGGAAUAUUAUUUGAGUAGAGGUAUUUGAAGAAGUUGCAAGAUGUGUUUGUUUAGAGUAUUGUAGUUCCAUGGAUAGGAAAUAAGGAUAGUUUAUCCACUAUAAGAGGGCAAAGGGAAUUAUCUAGGCUAAUGGUUCCUUAUGAGAGUAGCAUAACUCCAUUCUAGCGUACAGUUUGAUAUCUCCUACUUAGUUCUAGUUGGGAAUUUAUCAAACUCAAAAGUACUUAACAGGAUAGCAGGGAUAUUGCCAUUAUCUUUCCAACUUGCAAAUGCUGAAUGUAAAUAUACUUGGCAUGGAGUUGAACAAAAAAACUUUUAAGUUAGACCAGCUUUUUAGGGAGCUCUUUUAGUCUUCGCACUAUGCUAGGAGCUCUAGAUUUUUUUUCUGUUUGCUAAACGUCUGACUUUUGCUUCUUGAGUAGAAUAACUUUUUUAGAAGUCAAACCAAUUAGGUAGUAUAUACUUUUGCAUAUGCUAACAAAAGUAUGUAUUCGAAAAAUAUUUGCUGAGCUAACCUGUGACAUUAGGAUGCUAGCACAAGUAUCACUGCUGUAUAUGCUGNCUAAUUCCUACUUAAUUACCAUUAGAAAAUAAAGAAGUGUACCUUAAUUUAUAUGAUUUUACUCCAACCACUUUUCAUCUACUAGCAUGCUCCAGUUCCCAAAUGUGUCCUGAAUUAGAAGACAAUCCAAAAUAUGAAGAGCCCGAGUUCGUUUCUUCAAAAAAUUUUCGGAAUUUUUGUAGAUUUAUUUGCGAAUUUUUCGGACAAAAAAAAUGGCUUAAUCUAAUUUAUUCUUUUUAUUUUUUUGGAAAAAUACGUAAACAGCCGAUUAAUUCGUUUCUUCAAAAAUUCGCGAAUUAUUCGCGAAUUUACUAUCUAAGCCUAUCGCUCUCAAAAACAAAAGAAAAAAAAAGAAUUUUUAUCAGAGCAUGUGUUGCACAACGGGCGGAGGAGUGAUAAGAAAAAUCUCAUAAAUUAUUAAUACUGAUAGUUACAAAUAUCUUUAUUAAAUUAUUAUAAAUAUUACAAAUAUCUUUAUUAAAGCGAUUAGUCUCUAUCCAAAAUAAUCGUGAUAGUUACAAAAUACUUAUUUUAUUAUUGCCUAUUAUAUAUCAUUUGUGUCGCUUAAAUAUUCUAUAGCUGAUAUUCAAAAUUUUUCAAAAAUGCCCUCUAGAUAUUUUAUCAAUAAUUUUCAUCAUCACGCAUACAUCACAUAAAUAAUUUAAAUUUUAAAAUUUAAAAUUAAAAGUAAAAAUUUAAAUUUAAAUUUAAAAUUUGAUAAAGAUCUGAAUUCAAAUUUUAAAUUGAAUUCAAAUUUUGAACUUAAAAUUGCAAGUCAAUUUUAAAUAUAAAUUUAAAUUUGAAAUUCAAAUUCAAAUUUAUAUUUUGAAUUUGAAUUUCAAAAUAAAACUUUGAAAUUAAAAAUAAAACUAAUUCAAAAUCUAGAUUGAAAGUAAAAUUAGUAUAAAAUCUUAAUUCGAUUUCAAUUGAAUUUGAAUUAUAUUCGAAUCCAAAAUCAAAAUUUAAAUUUUAAAUUUAUAAUUAAAAUUAGAUUAAAUUAAUAUUACAAUUCAAUAUUAUAAUGUAAAUUUGAGUGAGUCUAAGAUCGCAGUUUAAAUUGAAAAUUGAAUUAAAAAAUUCUAAUUAUAAAUUUUGGAAAUAUUUAGAGAUAAAAUGAUAUUUUAAAAUUUAAGUAGCAUUAAACUAGCUUCCAACUAAGAUUAGGAUAACACUCCGUGACGUGAGUUUACAUAAGAAAUAUUUAUGAUAUAACUCAUUCUAUUGGAAGAGCGUAUAUGAUAUUUUAAUAUUUUUAGAGGUGCCUGUGAUAGUUUAAGAUUUUGAAAAAUAGUUAUGAAACUGUCCCUGCAUUUCAAAAUUUGGAAAACUGAUCUCCCUGACUUGCGGAUUUCAUGUAGUACAAUUUUUUGACGGUGUUCUUAAUGCAAGUAACAAAUUAUAAGCAACUUUAAAGGAAAAAAAGUUACAUAUUUUUAGGGAUCGUAUUUUGGAAAUUUGAGGAUGAGUUUUUAGUUGUCCAGGUUUCACGCUUUGAUAAAUAAUAUGAUCAGAAGAAUCAUAAAUGGCGAUAGCUUACGUUUACCUACUUUUAUUAGAUAUAUAGUUUAAUAUAUUCUUUUUCCGCAUAAAAUUACUAAUUAAAUAAAACCAAUUGAUGCUCAAACUCUCUCUUCCUAUGGAAUAAAAAUAAAACAUAAAAAAGGAUAAAUUACGCUUUUGGUCCUCAAACUAUAAGAUAUAUGACACUUUAGUCUUCAAACUUUAAUGUGUUAUAAUAACUUAUGGCUCAAAGUAUGAGACACGUGACACUUUAGUCCUUAAAUUUUAAUUAGUUGUAAUUUCUGACUUACACUAAAGUUAAUUAAUUUAUUUAUUUCUACGAAAUCGAUCGGUUUUGUUCAAUCAGUAAUUUUAUUCGAUGUUAAACUAUAUAACAAAUUUUAUAAUGUCUAAUUGUUAAAAUUAAAAAUCGACCAAUCAUAUUUUAAAUAUUAAAAAAAUUAUAGAUGCAAAAUUGAUCUUUGAUCGGAUUGUAAUAUAAUAUUAAACUUUUAUAAUAAAAUCGUAUAAAAUUUGUCUAAACUAUAAACCAUUCUGAAUCAUCUAUUCAACCUUUUAAAAUUUUAUUCUUAUUAUCGAACUAUUCGAUACGUUAGAUUUUAAAAUUUAUAUAUAAAAGGUUUAUAUAUUUUAAAUUUUAUAAUAAAAGCCCGCCACGCCUCUCUCCCCCGGCCCCGCCCCAGCGUCUGCGACGUGGCUCAUAAGAGACAAUUGAAAUUAUUUCGGGGACCAUCCGAGUUAUUUUGCAGCCAAGGUUGGACGUGGAUUAAUGCGGCGAUAACUCAAAUUACCAUUACCAUACUAUAAAUCCGAGCAAGAAAUGUAUGGAACCCCCUGAACUAUAUGCCACUAUGAAAUAGCGCCUUCAAUCUACUUUUGUUUUUUCCCAUUUCGUGUUGAGUGAUUUUGGUGACUCACAGUAAUUAUGAUAAUUUUAUCAUAUUUAAUUUAUUUAGUUUACAUACUACGUACAAUUGGCAGUUUGUGCAACAAUUAAUCUAUUCAGCUUAUUUUAUUCAGCUUGUUUUAUUAUACUAUAUAUGUUGAGUAUCACAACGAUGAUCUUCUAGCUUAUUUUCACGAAACUUUGCAUCGGAAUUUAAUAAUCGUUUUAAAUAUUUUUUAACUUCUUAGAUUACGGUGGUAUUAAAGUGCAUUACCAUAUAUUUUUUUUUUGAGAAAAAAAUUUUAUNCAUUCCGUGCGUCUGUGCUAGCAGUUCUUGGCAUGACUCCAUGCCACUCCAUAAAUCCUUGCUUUUGUUGUUUACAAGGCUAAACUUCAAAAUCGGCACUGUGGUAUAGUGCAUUUUCGCGUUGGUGCACUAUGGAUUCUUUUCUAUCACAUAGGUGCCCUGAGUUUGGUAUUGAAAUUAUUCCUCAAGGACCUUUUUUCUAGCCCUGUUGGUAUUUGUGUGUGUUUCCAGUUCAAAUCGUUGUUGGCUCGGUUUUUUUAAGUCUAAACUCAACCGAGAACCCGAAUGCAAGCCCAUCUUAUAAGGGGUUUCUGAUUAAGUUUGAAUCAGAACACGACCUAAGCCCUGACCUAACACGACCCAACCUGUUUAUAUAUAUAUAUAUAUAUAUAUAUAUAUAUAUAUAUAUAUAUAUAUAUAUUCCAGUCAAUCUAUUUCUAGCAUACUGAGCACUAAUCCCUUCCGAUGCAUCCACUUAUCCCAUGCCAACCUUUCUUGUCCUUUGUUGGAUCGGAGAGUUGCAAUCAAGAGUGGGACAACUUUUCACUCCGUCCGCAAGAGUUGUUGUCGCUGCGCUUGCACCUCAUUUAUUGUUGUUGUAUGAUUGAAAUUAUUUAGGGCAUGUGUGGCACAACAUGAAUAAGAAUAAGAGUUUAUGCACAUAAAUUUAUAUAUAUAUAUAUAUAUAUAUAGAGUCCGGCUACUAUACUCUUAUGAGUAUGAUUGUCCUCGUACUUAUAAGUUGUUUUCGAUGAUAGAGCUUCCGAAUCGACGAUCCAUACUGUUAAAUAUUAUUUAGAGCAUUUAAAACGUAUAGAAAUUAAAUUUUAUAAUUUUUCGAUAUCAUUUACCUUACAAUCAAAAGGUCACAAAAUUGACAAUUUUUAACGGCCGGUAUGAAAUAUUUGUUAGUUAAACAGUAUAAAAGAAUCAAAAUAAGUUGAUUUUUUGAUAGAAAAUUCUAUUCAGUAUAUAGAUAAAGAUCAAUAGCUCCGAUCUUAAAUUGAAGGAUCCGAUCAUAAAUUUUUAAGACGUCGUUCGAUUUUGACAAUUCAUUUUAUACCCGCUUGAUGAACUUUAUUAUGAUUUCAAAAAAUUACGAAAUUUAUUUUCUAGAAAUUUUAAUAAACUAUAUUUAACGGAAUGGAUCGUCGAUUUGGAAGCUACAUCAUUGAAAACAACUUAUGAGUAUGUACGAAGUGUUCUAUACUCAUAAGAGUAUAGUAGCCCUAACAUAUAUAUAUAUAUAUAUAUAUAUAUAUAUAUAUAUAUAUAUAUAUAUAUAUAUAUAAAACUAGGCUGGUAUACUAUCGGUAGCACGGAGGCUGAUAUAUAUAUAUAUAAAAUAGAGCUUCUACAUUUUUAAAAGUACCAAGUUAUUGGUACUUAUAUAUUUUUUGCCAUUGAAAUAAGAGAUAUACGGUUAGAAUGAUGUGGGACCAUUAAAAUUGAGUGGUGGUUGGUUCGGAUGAAAAUAAUCAAAUGUAUAGAUCUAAUAGUAAAAAAUUUACAAGUAUCAAGUGUUUGAUACUUUUAAUGUACCAUAUAUGCAGAUUUCUGAGACGGUAAAAAUUUUGCUUUUGUCUAAAUAAAUGAAAGAUGGAAUGGUUAAUUUGAUUUGAAAUUUUGUUUUUCUCCCGUUCAACUCGUUACGUUCUACUGGUUACAUUCUAUAUAUUUGUAGUGGCGUUGAACCACACCGUACAUGUGAGUAAUUAAGAUACAACCUUAUUUUCUAUAGAUAUCUGAGAUUUGGGUAAAUAGCUCUACAUGUCUCUAAACUUAAAUUAGUUUUUAAACUUGUAAAUUUGGUAUAUAUUUAAGACCGGACUGUUUGAAUUAUAUCAUUCUAGUCCUUAUUCUGAAUAAAAAAAAACAAAAAGCGGUAAACUAUAGUAAAACCUUCCAGUACUGCAUGUAUCAGUUAACACCCUCAAUUUAAUUUUAAAUAUGUUGAAUGGGGAAAUUAAUUGCACUACUAAUUAAUUUCCAAACUUCUAUUUUAGUCCUCAAUUUUUAAGUUUCACAAUAUUUGGGACUCAUUGAAUGUUUCAUUCUAGCACUUAGUUAAAAAACUAAAAAAUAAAAAAAUAUAAGAGAGAAAGAGAAAAGCUAAAUUUGUAGAAAACCUCGCCCCUUUCAUAUGUUAGAUUUUAUACUUUAUUUUCUUCAAAUUAUCAGGCCAAAUCAUUCUGUACCGACUAAGAUUUGAUAUUAGAACCACUCACCCAAUCAUAAAAUAAGAAGCGAAAAAAGCUCUAUUAUCGUGUUAAAGAACUAGAAUAUAAUCUAAAAACUCAAACGGAGUGGUAAAAAUAACCUUCACAUUAUGUAUACUAUUUUAUUUUUAUCUAAAAAGAAUCUAAACACAAGUACUCUAAUAAUAUAAUUUUGUAUUUUGUAUUUCAAUUAUAUGCACUUUCUCUAUAUAUUGACCCUCACAUUACCCCAUAGAUAUUCAAAACAAAUAAAUCUACAAAAAUAUUAUUUUUGAGACAUUUUCCUAUCAUAAUGUUGUACUAGUGUAGAGACCCGCGCGAUACAGCGGGUAGAUAAUAGAAUCAAAACUUAAAAAUUUUAAUAAAAUUUAUAUUUAUAGUUUAUUAAAUUCAACUAUUAAAAAAAUAAAAUUAUAGCUUAUAACCCACACAUUGAUAAAAUAUUAAUAUGAUGCAUGUAAUUAAAUGUUGCACUUUACAUGUAAUUAGAGAAGUGGAGAGGUGAAGAGUUGGACGUUGAGAAGAGAAAAUAAUUUGAUUUAAAAUUGGGCUAUGAGAAUAAAGAAUAACAUAUGGCAAAAAAAAAAUUUUUAUGGUACAUGCAAAAGAGUUACAAAAAAGAGGGCUGAGAGAUUAAUGGAGAAGAGAAGUUGAUUAAAGUUAUAAAUCUCACUCGAUGAUAGAAUAUUAAUAUGGUGCAUAUAAUUAAAUCUUGUUACUUACAUGUAAUUAGAGGAGUGGAAAGGUAAAGAAUUGGGCGUUGAGAAAAGGAGAAGAUGAUUUAAUUUAAAGUUGAGUUAUGAAAACGAAAGCUAACAUGCCACGUGGCAAAAAAAAAUACAAAACUGUAACUUCAUAAAGAUUUAUUUAUAGAUUUAUAGAUGUGCACGUGCGUGACUUUUCAAAUUGUGUUGGACCAUCCCAAUUAUUUUGCAAACAACGUAUUCAAUGCGGUGACAACUCAAAUUUAAUUAUUGGAGCAAGAAAAUGUAUGGAAACCCCUAAACUAUAAGCGACUUUGAAAUAGCUCCUUUAAUCUGGUUUAAUUCUAUCGACUGUUUCUAGAGCAAAUGGUCGGUAUCCGAGACUCAAGUUCGAAUUCUAGUUGAUUCACAUUUCUAGCUAAGUUUAUUUCAAAAUGAAAUAAACGAAGCGGGUAACAUGCUAUCUUUCUCUCAAAAAAAAAAAAAAAAAUCUGGUUUAAUUCUCCCUCGCUGCCAUAUUUUAUAUUAGCUUAUGGUGUUGAGUCAAUGCUUUGAGGUGUCGCUAAUAUGUUUGUAUUCUCUCUUAAAUACGUAAUUAAUGCAAGAGAUAAACUACACCCCACUCAAGUUUUUUUUUUCCAUUCUAAUUAGCUGUCAAAGAUUAAUUAAAUAUAUGGACAGUUGAAAGAAACAUUUCUCUGCUUUUCUAUUUUUUCUAAAUCUCUUACAUUUUCUCUUAUAGAUAUACGCAUGUUACGAUAGUCUUUAUAGUUCCAGUUCUAUCACUGUAACAAAAUAUAUUUUAAAUAAUAUUUUUUAGACAACGCUCUAUUAUAAUAUCUUCAAUAUUUGGUAUAUAUCAACAGUAUGACUAAAUAUUGUUAAUAAAUAUAUUUUUAUUAAAAUACUGAUAAAUUUUUCGACGCUAUAUUAAAGCGUCUGUAUAUAUAUCCCAACAUAUUUACUUAACGACUCUUUAUUCGAUAUUUUUACAGGUGUCGAGAUUAUUCUUACUGAUGCUUUAAAAACGAUCUCGAAUUUUUGUAAGUAGUAUUUCGUGAUGGACUAUUGAUGCAUAUAAAAAAAAAUUAUGUGGUUUGAUACUUUAGUUUAAAUCUAUAGAUGAAGAUGGAGCGAAAAUUUUAUUAUAGCCAAAAGUGCAGAAGAUAAGAUUUAUGCCCAUUGUUCACCCUUAUCUUGACCACAUGUUGCGGUCUAGGUUCUGGGGUGAAGAAGAUCUGCAUUAUUGCGCUUAUGUAUGUACUAUUUUCUUGACAAUUUGGGCAAUAGAAUUAAGCUCGUAUGUUUUUAAUAGUGUAAGUUAUUGAUGUUUGUAAAUUUUCGAUCUUUGAGUUAAGGGAUGUGCGGUUUGAAUGAAAAUAAUCUUCUUAGGUUGAUUGGAUAGUUGGUUGAAUAGUAUAUAUGCUCUAACGAGUAAAAAUAGUUAAAAGGAUAAAUCUAACGGCAGAAAACUUAUAAGCACUAAGUACUUGCUACUUUUGAAAACAUCAUAGUCGGACUCUCGAGCAAUAUUAGUUUUUAUAAACCGAUGAAAAAUAGAUUUAAGUAAUUGAUACCGUAAAUUUGAAAUUGUAGAUGUCGUGUAGCUUUUCCAGUUUAUAUAGUUUGCUCAGUAUAUAUUUAUCGUUUAGUUUAUGAAUUCCAUUUUUGUCUACUUCAAUAUCAAUCGAUUAUCAUAUUAUUCAUAAAUAAAAAUGGUGAAUAAAAAAGUGAAAUUGUAUCGUGCAAUUUGUGAAUAUAUAUUUUUAAUUUACCUUCUUUAAAUUAGUAUAAUUAUUUUAUUUAAUAUUUGUACAAUUUAAUUACUUUCAAUUAAAUAUAUUUUGUUUGCUAUGCAUUAAUUUUACUGCUUUAUGAAAUUUUAAAGGUAAAAAUAUAUGGUUUAAUAAAAAAGGAUUGAUGAUUUGCAAUGGGCAAGGUAGAAAUAAUUUUAAAAGAGUUGUCACUAAUCUUAAUAUUUUGAAUAAUUUUUUUAAAAUUAGGUAAAUAUAUUUUUUUGGCAUUAUUAUUUUAGAAACGCUUCUAUGUAUAUUAUGUGACUGAGGAUCAGAAGGAAAAAUUUUAGAAUGCAACUGGUAUAUUGGUGACGUGGCGUAACAAACUAAUCAAAUAUCUGGUAUAUUGGUGACGUGGCGUAACAAACUAAUCAAAUAUCUCCUUUUAGAAGUAUAUAUGUUCCAUCAUGAUUGUAAAAAAAUAUCGAUUAGAAGAGGGUACGUAGUUUCGGGACCACCUCCAUAUUGGUUAUAAGAUUGGAAUUAUUGGCACAUGCACGUGUUACGUGUACGUAGCUCGAUCGGAAUAUAUAUAUAUAUAUAUAGAACAAUAAUACAUAAUUAGCAGUAUGGCACUAUUAGGUAAUAAAUAAUAUGAAGUAACGACGAAAUUAAGCGUGCUUAUAUGGAUAUGCUUCAGCAUUAAUUUUUCAAAUGGGACCGCAAAUUAUGAUGCAUGUAUUAUCUGCUUCAAACCUCUUCAUCAUCAAAUCAUCUGCUUCGCCGAGAGAAGCCAACGACGAAGCCCACAUCACAGAAAGAAACAAAAAAAGAAACAAUACUUGGUACUUGGAAGCCAUAGCUCACACUUACGACUAGUUUUGUUGCUGAGAGUAAGGUUCUCCGCAUCGAGUUUAUGUACAAGUUCUCGACCUACUAAUUAAAGUUGCUGGACCAUUAAUGGACGUGAGAGGUCAAUUAUUCGGGGCUAUUAUUAUUAUUAUUAUUAUACGAUAUCAUUAUUGGCGGCAAUUUGCACCGCUGGUCACUGAGCCCUAAUAGCUACAUUUGGUUUGGGAACAAAUUUUGAGUAAUAAUUCGUUUAUCGUUCCACCAACAAACGAUAUUUGGGAAUUAUCUAGAAUAAGCACUAAAUUACAUUUGGAUGCUGUUUAUUGAGUUGAGUUGAAAUGCUAUUAAUAGUCUUUAAAUUUUUUUACUAUCGAUUUUUUAAUUCUUAGAUUUAUAUUUUAAUUAAUUUCUUAUUUAGGUCAUGCUAUUGAAUUUUAUAGGGAUAUAUUUAUAAUUAGUUAUGUUUACAAAAAACUAUACGUAAUUAACCCUAAAUUUAAUUAAAUUUUAAUUUUAAAAUUUUUUUAGAGGAAAAGACACAGUUUUCAGUUUCGUUCAUUUUGUGGUUUUUGUUUUUUUUUAUUUUUAAAGUAAAAUCUUAUUAUGUAGAGAGUUGGUGCUAAUGUGCAUGUGAUGAAAUUUCAUUAAUUGAUUUCUCUCUUCCGUUGUUCGAUCGGAAUGCCGCAAUCAUGAGAGGGACAGCAUUCCAGUGCUCCAUACGCCAGAGUUAUUGUGGCUGAGCUUGCACCUCUAUGUGGGACAAAAAUUUUGCGGGCACCAUCCCUAAAUUAAUAAUUUGGGGACCGUGCAAAUGGGUGUCACGUGAUUGGUUCGACGGAUGCCAAUUUUUACUAUUUUUUAUCUCUCUUUAGAAAAAUAGUAUAAUUUUUUUUUUUUUUUUCAUUGAUGGCAGUCGGAUGGACCACGUGACGCCCAUCCGCAUGGUCCCUCUAUGUGUUGUCCUUGUAUGAUUGAUGAUUGAUAGUACAACAUGUCUGGCACAACAGAAUAAGAAUAAGAGCCGCACGUAAAUUUAAAAUGAUAUAUGUAAAUUAACAAAUAUUAUUAUUGUUUAGAAUAGGUGUUUCUUUUUUUUAAGAGGGAACUCACCAAAAAUAGAAAAUUUUCUAGAUAAUGGCCGUUCCCUGAUACGUCAAUGUAUUGAAGGUGUUUUCGAUAAUAAAAUUGAGAUCUAGUAAAGUACAUUUACUGAAUAUAUAUGAGCGACGAUUUGUGAUAAUUUAUCUCUUCCUUCAAAAUCGUGUAGAAAUUAGAUAGAUUUUCUUUUAAUCGAACCGCUUCCGUAUUGAUCUAUAUAUAUAUAAUGUGAUUUGAAUACUCAUAAAAGGGGAUGGUGUACCAUUGCCCACUUUUAACAUGCACAAGACAUAGACUAUAAGUAAAAUUUACUUUUGUCUAAAUAAACGAAAGAUGAAAUAAUUAAUUUGAUUUGAUUUGAAAUUUAUAGUGGUGUUGGACCACAACAUACAUCUGAGUAAUUUAGAUACGACCUUAUUUUCUGUAGAUAUAUGAGAUUCGGUUAAAUUGCACUACAUGUCUCUGAACUUAAAUUUAAUUUUCAAAAAUUUGAUAUAUAUUUAAGACCGGACUUUUUGAAUUAUAUCAUUCUAGUCCUUAUUCUGAAUAAAAAAUGGGGUUAAAUUAUAGUCAAACUUUUCCCUGCAUGUGUCAGUUUACACCCUCAAUUUUUAAAUAUGUUGAAUGGGUAAAUUGCACUACUACUUCCCAAACUUCUAUUUUAGUCGUCAAUUUUUAAGUUUCGCAAUAUUUAGGACUCGUUGAAUGUAUCAUUCUAGCCCUUAGUUCAAAAAAAUAAAAAAUAAAAAAUAAAAAACUAUCGGAGAGAAAGAGAAAAGCUAAAUUUGUAGAAAACCUCCAUACAAAAGUUGUAUUUUACACUUUAUUUUCUUCAAUAUUUAAACUAUCAGGCAAAAUUAUUAUAUACCGACUAAGAUUUUAUAUUACAAUCACUCGCCCAAUCAUAUAUUAAGAAGCGGAAAAAGAUCUAAUAUGGUGUUAAUUAAAGAACUUGAAUCUUAUCCAAAAUAAGCGGUAAAGAUAGAUAACCUUCACAUUAGGUGUACUAUUUUAUUUUUAUCUAGUAAGAAACUAUACACAAGUACUCUAAUAAUAUAAUGUCUUUUCUAUUUCAAUUAUAUGUACUUUCCAUAUUGAACCUCACAUUACUUCAUAAAUAUUCAAAACAAAUAAAUCUAAAAAAAAAUUUCUCAAAAAACAAUAUAAAAAAAUAUUAUUAUUGAGAUAUUUUCGUAUCAUAAAGUUGCAUGUGAAUGUGCAGGACUUUUCAAAUUGUCUCGGGGGCCAUCCCAAUUAUUUUGCUGCCAACGUAUUCAAUGCGGUGACAACCGACAUUUAAUUAUUGGAGCAAAAAAAUGUAAGGAAACCCCUAAACUAUAAGCCUCUUUGAAAUAGCUCCUUCAAUCUAGUUUUUCUCUCAUUGCCCUCUUUUAUAUUAGUUUAGAGUGUGUUUGGUUCCACCUAAAAUUAUUUCAAUUUUUUUUUGGCAGUUGAAAAGUAAAUUCUCGAUGUUUGAUUGUUUGCAAAAAAAAUUUCUCAAUUUUUUUUUUUUACAGAUUCAAUAGAACUGGAGGAUUUUGUUCUCUGCUUGUUUCGAGAGGAAAACGAAAACUUCAGCCGCGAAAAUACGUGGCGUUUCGGAAAGGCGGGGAUGUGUAUCACGUGGUCCAAAAGGUGACCUCCACCUCGUGGACUGCAUGAGAGUCUCUCCCCCUUUUCUUAUAUAUAUAUAGAGUCCGGCAGCUAUACUCUAAUUAUGAGAACGAUCGCCCUCCUACUCAUAAGUCGUUUUCGAUAAUAGAGUUUCCGAAUCGACAAUCCAUACCGUUAAACAUUAUCUACAGUAUUUAAAACUUCUAGAAAUCAAAUUCUAUAGUAGGUCUUGUGUGCUUUUAGAAGUACAAGGCCUUCAUACUGCUAAACCGUUUUCGAUGAUAGAGAUUCUAAAUUAACGAUCGAUUCCGUUAGACUUGAUUUAGCAUAUUUGAAAUAUCUAAAAAAUAAAUUUUACGAUUUUUCGAUAUCAUUUAUCUAACGAUCAAAAGAGUUCAAAAUCAACGGUUGAAAAUAAAAAUCUCACAAAAAGCGGUGAUAUGGACACUAAAAUUUUUGAUUAGAGAUAUUGAUCUUGCUAUAAAUAGUAUAAAUAAUUUUUUAUAAAAAUUUUAUCUGAUUUGAAUAAUUAUACACGGUUAAAUUUGCAAACAGUAUAUAUAUAUCAACAAUUAACAAUUAUUAAUUUUGAUCCCUUUCGAUCAUUAAGUAAAUGAUAUUAAAAAAUCACAAAAUUUAUUUUCUAAAUAUUUUAAAUACGCUAGAUCAAGUUUAACGGAGCUGAUCGUUAAUUCAAAAGCUCCAUCAUCAAAAAUAGUUUAGAAGCACAGAGGCUCGAUCCGUGCUUCUAAUAGCGUAGUUGAAAUAUUCAAAAACUCCAUCAUCAAUGAUCGGUGCGAAUUAAGGAAGAAAAAAUUCAACUUAUCUUACAAAAUUAUUUUGGGAAAUCCUCGCUGCACAAUUAGGCGAAUCCUAUGCCCAAAUGAACAUCAAGAGAUUGAUAAAAAAAAGGGAGAGCAAAGAAAUGGGUUUAAAAAAACACAAGGAGGGCCCCAAUCCACCUCUCCUCCACCCAAAUAAAUGUACGCGGUACCGCCACGUUGGAUUAAACUGUGAUUUUAUAAAUUUUUAUUAUAGAAGAUGUUAUCAACAAAAAAUUUUAAUUCUUAUAUUUUUUUAUAUAUAAAGUGAAAAUUUUUAUUUUAGUUUAUUUUAAUAUCUUUUCUGUGAAACAAUCGUUGUACUCUAAAAACUUAAAUUGUUAGAGAACGAUGUUUAAACAUUUUUUAUAUUUAACACUCCCCCUCACGUCUGGGCUUGAGACUUUUUAGUCGGCCCAUGACGUGAGCUUGAAUUAAAUGGGAGGAAAUUAAUAUGUUAGGAGUCUGGCGUGACUCCAACUCAAGACCUCCUGCUCUGAUUUAGAUGUGAAACAACUGUUGUACUCUAAAAGCUUAAACUGUUAGAGAACGGUGCUUAAACAUUUUUCAUAUUUAACACUCCCCCUCACGUCUGGGCUCGAGACUUUUUAGUCGGCCCAUGACGUGGGCUUGAAUUAAAUGGGAGUAAAUUAAUAUGCUAGGAGCCUGGCGUGACUCGAACUCAGGACCUCCUGCUCUGAUACCAUGUGAAACAUCCGUUGUACCCUAAAAGCUUAAGCUGUUAGAGAACGGUGUUUAAACAUUUUUUAUAUUUAACAUUUUCCUGCAUUUGAUUCAAAAUUUAUUACAAACUAAUAGGUUGAUGAUGUCUUCUGUUUUUAUUUAAUAUCUAAAUUUGAGGGCAGUGAGUACCCCAAUUUAAUUUUUUUAAUUCAAUAUCAUUUGAUUAUCAAAUUAUUCAUAAAUAAAAAUGGUGAAUAAAAAGUGAAAUUGUAUCGUACAAUUUGUGAAUAUAUAUUUUUAGUUUACCUUGUUUAAAUUAGUAUGAUUGUUUUAUUUAAUAUUUGUACAAUUUAAUUACGUUCAAUUAACUAUAUUUUGUUUGCUAUGCAUUUUACUGCAUUUAUGAAAUUUUAAAGGUAAAAAUUUAUAGUUUAAUCAAAAAGUAUUGAUGAUUGGCAUUGGGCAACGUAGAAAUUUUGAAAGAGUUGUCACUAAUCUUAAUAUUUUGAAUAAUUUUUUUUCAAAUUAGCUAAAUAUUUUUGGCAUUAUUAUUUUAGAAAAGCUUCUAUGUAUAUAAUGUGACAAAGGAUUAGAAGAGGGUACGUAGAUAUGAUGUUAUUCCUAGGUAAUACACUAAUUACCUUAACUCUUUGAAUGGUUCAUAAGGCGGAAACAUUUUGAUAAUUAAUAUAAAGGGUACAACUCGAUCUUUCUUUCUUUUUUUUUCUUUUUUUUCUUUUUUUUUUUUUGAGAAAAGGUAGUGAAGCUACCUGCUUCAUUCAUUAGGCUAAAUAAACUAAGCAUAUAUGAUUGAGGCAACUAAGGCCUCCGGAAGGGUCUUGAAGAAAAACAAAAUAAAUGGAAAAAAAAGGAAAAAAAAGAAAAAAGACAAAAAAGUAGACAACAGUGAAUAAACCUUACUAAAAACGGUCGUCCCAAUAAGGUACCAAAACAGGGUGCGCGGUCGAGUCAAAGUGCGUCAGCCCAGUCUUUGAUCAAGUAAGUGACACGUUCGAUGGCCCGGGCAGCGUUAGAACGUGUAUCGCGAAAAAUAAUAUUAUUACGUUCCGUCCAUACCACCAACCAGAUUGCCUCUAGAUGAGCCCGGCUUUGACUCGAUCAUUACUAGGCUUUGACUCGAUCAUUACUCCGGUACAUUCUAGUUUUGUAUACUCCAGCUCCGAGGAGAACACAACGCUCGUUUCCGAGAUGCAGAACAAAUUAAACAGAUGCUGUAGCAUCAUGUCACGUUUCAAAUUGUUUCGUGACCACCUCAAUAUAUGUUCACUUUUUUGUACACAUGGUUACUGCAGAUUGAACCAGCACGUGACCGAUACGUACGUUUAGUCCCCAUUAAGAUUGGAAUUAUUGGCACAUGCACGUGUUAGGUGUACGUAGCUCGAUCGGAAUAUAGAACAAUAAUACAUAAUUAGUAUGGCACUAUUAGGUAAUAAAUAACAUGAAGUAACGACGAAAGCAAGCUUAUAUGGAUAUGUUUCAGCACUUUUCAAAUGGGAUGGCAAAUUAUGAUGUACGAAAUAUAUUAUUACAUACAAAAAUAAAUAAAAUAUUUAUUUAUCAUAUUUUUUCUUUACAGGUGGCACAAUCUUUCAAUAAUUUCAAACAAAGCGUUAGUGUAUUAGAAUUUUAAUUCUUGAAUGAGAAAUUGUUGGAUUAAAAUGAUAUUAGUAUCUUAGAGUUGAGUGAUUCCUCUAAAGUUGAGUGGUUCCUACUGAAUUAUAAUAUUUAAUUCAAUAAUUUAAAAUAAUAAAAAGAAUUGAUCCAAAAAACCUAUAGCAAAAAUGGCCUUUUGGUAUCAAUAGUAUUCUAUCCCAUCUCUCUCUCUCUCUCUCUCUCUCUUUCUCUCUCUCUCUCUAUAUAUAUAUAUAUAUAUAUAUAUGAAUCAGGCUGGGAUACUAUCAAUAGGACCAAGCGUUUAGUGCUAUCAAGUUUUUCACUGUUAGAUUUAACUCUUUGACUAUUUUUAUCUGUUAGAUUAUACUAUUAAACCGAUAACUUAUUCAACCCUAGGAGGCCCACAUUAUUUUAACCGUAUAUUUUUUCAUCCAAGGACCGAAAAUCUAAUAGCACCAAUAGUUUGGUGCUAUUGAUAAUAUUCCAGCCUAGUUCUAUAUGCACACACAGGUCUUGUGUGCUAUUAGGAGCACAGAAGUCUUCGUGCUCCUAAGUCAUUUUUUAUGAUGAAGUUUUUGAAUCGACGAUCGAUUCCAUUAGACUUGAUUUAUCUAUUUAAAAUAUUUAGAAAAUAAAUUUUAAAGAAAGCGCUAGUGGAUUAGCAUUUAGCGAGUUAGAUUUCAAUUUCUUACCUCACAUGUAGUGUGUGGGCUUAGAUUUCAACUUCUUACCUCACAUCUAGUGUGUGGGCAUGUACGUAAUUGCACCGCACAGAGCAAUAUAGAUGCACAAUUCUAUUAACUGCUACAGGCUUUACAUACCAUUACUUGAUGAUCUUAUUCGGAUAAAAAUUUGCUAGGCAUCAUCCCCAAAUUAUAAGUUGGGGGACGAUGCGGAUGUGUGCCGCAUCGCCCUUCCGACACGCGCCCAUGGAAGGAAAAAAAAAAAAUGGCGCCCUGUGUUUAUAUAGAGAGAGAGAGUGAGAGAGAGAGAGAGAGCAGAGGGAGGGAGGAGAGUGAUCGUCGGAUGGGUCAGGCGGCGCCCAUCUGUAUCAUCUAGUUUGGAGACCAUGCCCAGCAACUUUUUGUCCAACUUACUCAUCAAAACAGCAUAAACUUACAAAAUUAAAUACAAACAGUUGGCUACUAAAUAUAUAUUAGGCAGCCAGUGGAACUGAUAAUAAUGCAACAAAAAUACAAAUGAAAACAGCAAGCCCUACUCGAUCAUACAGAUAAUCUUCGCACGAGCAUCGCCCGAUUUAUUACAUAGCUUAUAAGGUACGUAGCACACAGGGCACUUCAUUGCAUGCUAAAUCGCAGCUUCGAUAACCCUUACAUGGAGCUGACACGAUCAUCCGAACCCAUGUCAGAGGGUUCUGUAAUGCGCGGUGACGAAACAAGAGUCGGGUAAAUACCAUAGCUAGCCAGACCACAUAAUCCAGGAUAUGCCGUGUCUCUUAACAUCCUCACGUAUCCAUUUUCUCCCCACCUGUUGCCCCAUGAAUUCUUUAUUAUCCAAUACUUGUCUCCGGUGCUGCUGUCCUGCCCGUAACCUACGACGGUAACGGCAUGGAAAAUAUUUGUCCCACAAGGUCCUUUAAAGAUACCGCCAUUGUAGUAAUUGAAGUAAUAAGAGCUAGCAUCAAUAGCAAUAACUGUCGGCUGGUUCGCCACAGCAUACAUGAUCGCGCGUUCAUCGUAGCUAGGUUGUACAUAUUGAUAGCCGGUAAUAUAAGCUGCAUUCGGUUUGUUAUUUCUGCAAGUGCCUUUGUAUCCUACAUAGGGAUAGUUCGCCUCCGUCGUCACGCCCUUGUUAGCGAUGAUAAAUUCGUAGGCUUUGUGUACCCAACCAGAUGUGCACGCGUUGCUAACAGUACAAUCUAAAACUUCUUGCUCCGAUAGAGAUAUUAGUUGCCCUGUUUUAAUCUUGUAGAUGCCUUCUACCGUCGCGAUUGAAGAGAAUGCCCAGCAAGAACCUAUUUCAAAACAUAUAUUCAAGUUAGCACAACUCGUACAAGCAAAAGUUACGUAGAUUGUUAAUUAAGAUGUAAGAAGAACAUUCAAACAAGUAUGGACAAGGUCAAACAGAUGAUUACUGUGUUACUUUAUGCUUACUUGAGUGAAAAUGAUUAAUGUUGUCAUACUUCUUGUCGGAAAUUAAUUUUUCUAAAAACUUAAUUAAACUACUGAAGAACGAUUUCUAAUUAUUAAGAAUUAAUACUUCUUAUUAUGUCUAAUCUACAAAUGUACAUAUAGUAGGUGAUAACAUGUGUUCGUACACUUUUAGCUAGUCUGAGACAUGAACUUUGCAUUCAAAUGCGGUGGAGGUUUGGUUCUUUUGUCCACAUAAAUGGCUAAUGGAAUGGUGAGAUUUGGGCCCAAGGCAUCCUAUUCUCAUGAGGUUAAUUAAAAAAAUAACAUUUAUUAAGGUUCAGGCUGCUAUAGCUAGAAAUUAAUGCGCUUUAGUUCUCUAAACUCUACACUUGGUUCUUACCGCAAGUUCCUUGAUUCUUGACUGGUGUUACGGCACCGUAAUCCCUCCAAUCAAUGCUUUGAGGUAUCGCGGACAUGUUUACAUCCUCAAACGACACCGAUGGCUCUAAAUUUGUCAUAUUUAGAGGGAGAGAUAGACCGACAUGCUGAGCCACGAUUUCAUCAUUUGUCAUGUCAGCGAAUUGAUUAAUGCCCAGAGUAUACGAGUUGCCGCCGCGCCUGUUGAAGGCUUCAAUGCGGUUCACAUUGUCCUUAAAGAUCUCAAAACGGCGCAUCUUCUCAGCAUCGUCACUGUAAACUCGGCCGAAAUCGGCCAUCCAUUCAUCAAACCUCUUCAUCAUCGAAUCAUCUGCUUCACCGCGAGAAGCCAACGGCGAAGCCCACAGCACAGAAAGAAACAGAAAGAGAAACAAUACUUGGAAUCUGGAAGCCAUAGCUCUGACUUACAAAUGCUUUUUUUGCUGAGAGUAAGGCUCUCCUCAUCGAGUUUAUAUAGUAGUUCUCGGCCUAUGUACGUACUAAAGUUGCUGGACCAUUAUUGGACGAGAGGUCCAUUAUUGGGGGCUAUUAUACGAGAUCAUUAUUGGCGGCAAUAAUAGCUUCAUUUGGUUUGAGAACAAUUUUUGAGUAAUAAUUUUUUAUCGUUCCAGUAACAAAUGGUAUUCCGGAAUUACAUUUCGAUACUGUUUAUUUUGUUGAGCUGGAAUACUCUAUAUUAAUAGUAUUUAAAUUUUUUCGCUAUUAUUUUUUUAACCGUAAGAUCUAUAUUUUAAUUAAUUCCACCAUUUAAAUUAUACUAUUCAAAUAGCUACCCAUUCAAUGCUAAGAAGGACCACGAUCAUUCUAAUUCUAUAACUUUUCAUCAAAAAAUUAGAUAAUCGAUAGUAAAAUAGUCAAAUACUAAUAAUAAUAUUUCAGCUCAAUUCUUAUUUAUUUGUUCUGAAAUGAUAUUAUUUUUUUUUUUUUAGUGAGAAAGGUAGCACGAUACCCGCUUCAUUCAACAGAACGAUGAAUUAGGCUACAAGAGUGGGGCAGCCAAGCCCCGGGCGAAGGCGCAAACAAAAAAUAAAAAAAAAAAAAACAACAACAACGCACGCACACACUUAGGAGAGAGGAAAGAAUCCCACUCCGACACUAAUAGCUUGAGCCUCUGGACAGCUAACCCCGGAUUUGGUUGGCAAUUCCUGAAUAUCCAAUUGUUCCUCACCUUUCAAAUAGUCCACCAGCAGCCUGCCAGAUCAGUAAGUCUGGUUCUCUUCUUGUGCUGAUCCUUUCUAUCCGACCACUUUUCCCAGACGAGUUCCACGUCGUCCCCCAGGUCCUGGGCCUAGAUAUCGUCCACCUCUGAAACUAUGAUGAACUUGGUAAAUAUGCACCUACUGAACAAGUGAUCCACGGUUUCCACUUCCGCCCCACAAAGUACACAGGUAGGGUCGUCCGCCAGCCCUCUCAAAACUAGUUUAUCACGAGUAAGAUUCCUUUUCUUGAGUACCAACCAACAAAAUACUUUGUUUUUCAAAAGGAUUUUCAGGUUCCAGAUCCUGGAUACGCGUACAUCUCUCACACUCUCAAAAACACCAUGAGGUUAGUGCUUUUGAUAUUAUUAGUAUGUGGAUAUUUUAUGUUUGAAUAAGGUAUUGAAAUGAUUAAAAAUGUAUGAAAUAUCAGUUUUGCCCUUAUAUAUAUAUAAUAAUCAAAAUAAGAGUUGAGCUAGAAUACUCUCAAAAGCACCAUGAGGUUAGUGCUUUUGAGUUUUUAACUCUUGGAUGAAAAAAUGUAAGAUUGGGAUGAUGGUAGUAGGUGGUGGUAGGUGGAAUAGUGUUUGAUCUAAGGGCUAUUAGUAAUCAAUGAAUAGACUUAAGGGCUAGAAACCUAAAAGCAUCAAGGGGGUGAUACUUCUAAAAGUAUUCUAGCUCAAUUCAUGAAAAUAAACAUAAAUUAUUAAAAAGCUAAAAAUAUUAUAUUUGUCUCGAUUAUCAAAUUAAAUAUUAAUUUUUUUUAGAGAGAUAGAUAGCACGCUACCCGCUUCGUUUAUUUCCUCUAUAAAUAAACUUAGCUAGAAAUAUAAAUCAACUAGGAUUCGAACUUGGAUCUCGGAUACCAACCACCAAGCCCUUUGCCACUUGUUCUAGGGACGAUCAAUAUCUUUUAAAUGUGAAUCAAAUUUUAAAUAUUAAUUAAUUAUAAUUUAGAAAUAAACUUAGCUAGAAAUAUGAAUCAAAUUAAAUAUUAAUUAAUUACAAUUUAGGUACUUUUUUUUCUCCCUAAAGAAAAACUAGAAGCAAAUUAUUAGCAAAGAAAACACCAUUUUUUGAAUAGAAAAUAAAAAUAAUUCCCACAAUAAAUAAAAAUUAAUUCUCAACCAAAAAAUAAAUUGAUUAAUUUGGAAGAACGAGCUCGGCGACGGAGGCGUUGUUCUCAAAAGUUAGAUCUCCCUGGUGGGAGAACCAAGCUUAACGAGUUAUUAAGAUAUAAUUCGUAAAGUCCUCUACAAGAUCAGCUUUCAAUUCUCUCUUUUUUUUUUUCUUUUUUUUUUCUUUUUUCCUAUAAGUUUAAGAAUAUCUUCCUCGUUCCGGAAAUAUUCCCGAAACAAACUCUUAGUCUCUCUAUUUCAUCAUGAUGCCAUAUGAAUGCAAUGUAUAACCCCGAACCAAACACGGGCUAAAUUUACUACCAUAUAUGUGUUUAGUUCUAUCUUUUAUUUAAAGAUUAUAAUUUUUUUCUUUCUGUAGUUAAAACAAAUUUUACAUGUCUCAUGAUUUCCUACAAGUUGUAAAGGGCUAAGUGGUUGGUACCCGAGGUUCCAAAUUUGAGUCCUAAUUAAUUCACAUUUUAAGUUAAGUUUAUUUCUAAAUAAAAUAAACGAAGCGGGUACUACUUAUCUCUAUAAAAAAAAACUAUUUUGUCGAAAUAUAUUAUAAAGUCACCUGUUAAUGCAGCUAAAAAUAUUCCCAACAUUCAAUGGAUGAUAUAUAGGUAUAGCGUUGUUAAAAGGAGCUUUUUAUCUGAUAAAUGAUCGAGUUGAAUAUAUUUGCUCAUCAAAUUUUAAUAGACGCAAGGCAUAGUCUAUAAAUGUAUAGCCUAUAAAUGUAGUUUAGUAAAAGUAAAAUUACUUUUGUCCAAAUAAAUAGAUGGAACUAUAAGAUUUGAUUUUUUUUUUUUUUUUCUUACUGGGUUCGUUCUAUUUAUGGCCGCAUAGGACCGUACCACGAUAUUCUUGUUGGUUAUUCAGAUCCAACAUUAUUUGUUGUAUAUAUUUAAUAAUUGGAUAAAUUACACUACUGGUCUCUAAGAGGUAGUGAAUUUGCAACCCACCUUAAUAUCGCUUGUUGUGAAUAGAGUAUUCACUUUUAUAACAAUUGUUAAGAUUUCAUAAUGAGAGCAUUAAAGCGAAUAUUUACUAUAAAUCCAUUUUUUCAGCAAAAACUGAUCUUAGUAGUCCAAGAAAAGAGAGAAAAAAAAUCAAAUAAAAAUAAAAGUGAAAUAAUAUUCACUAACUAAAAGUGUAGAACGCAGGGGAAGUAUUCGUUUAUACCUUUUUGCGGAAGUGAUUCGCGCUACAAUGCGACGAGUCCGGAUUAUAGAGGUUGAUUCAUGUAUCCUUGGAUCGUCCUUACAGGUCUUCUAAUGUUCCAAACUCGCGGUGGAUCGAACUACAAACGAGCACGAUCGCAAAUCCACCGUUUAAGACCCUCUAGAAUAGUUGGUUAAUGGAGAAUGUGGUUUUUAUGUUUUUUUCUACGUUUUUCUCUUAGUUUUCUUAUUCUCUUUCUUAUUCUCUUGUUCUUAUUUUUAAUGUGAGAUCACCCGCAUAUUUAUAAGAGUUUCCAAAAUCCUAAUAGGUGCGUAAGAGAUAAGACCAAAUCGGCUAUUAAUUGAUAUCCUAAUAUGAUUAGAAUUUAUUUUUAAUUAGCUUUUCAAUUUAAAAGCGAGAUUAAUUCUAAUCCAGUUAGACAAUAUAAUAACUGUCGGAUCGAGUCCGAUCAUGGAUGCACCCAAUUCGAUUUAAUCGGAUGCCAACAAAAAAAAUAAUUAUAUCCUACUCUUCUGCGCGGAGUAAUUUCAAUUCGAGCUCUCUUUGCAAAUCUCUCUCACCACUUUCUCGUCCUCUAAUCUAACGGCGUCUCUUCUGUGCACGCGUGUACAAAAUGCACAAACGACUCACAGUAUAACAAAAGCGGCCCGCACACAUUGAUGAACAGAAUUACCAACUGGACCAUACUAGGCCAGACAAAACUGUAGAUUAAUUACUCGGCCUUUUUUUGACACCCCGGGCUGUUUGCUUCCAGGAAAAAAUAUCUAGAAAAAUUUAGAGGAAAGAAGUUUUUACAUGAAAAAUUCUUAUUUAAGUUUUCCGCUCGUUUGUUUUCAAGAUAUAUUAGAAUUUUUUUUUAUUUUUUUCUUAAGUUCAUGAAAAACUAGUAUUUUUAUUUUUUAAAUUUUUUUUAGAAAACGAUAAUACUAGUUNUUUUUUUUUUUUUUUUUUUUUUUUUUUUUUUGUAAAAUCUGGAAUAAUAGAGUUUUCUGAUAAAACUGGUUUCUUUGGGACUGAAUGGAGAAACUAGUAAUGUGUGUUAAUUAGUGACACAUUUAUUUUGUAUUAGUGCUAGAGGCCUGAGCCUAGAGGUGGCCUCACACAGUACUUAUUCAAGUUCCCGCUGUGUCAUCCUGACCCAAAUGUUCCUGAACCAUGGUCCAGCCCCACUAGUUUGGACCGCACGUACAUUAUCAGGCCACGGUCCGAUCCUAUUUGCUUUUACAUUUUUUAAUAUAUUUUUAAACUUUCAUUUUUAAGAUUAUAUUGUUUAAGUUUUUAAUAUAUUGAUAUAGUUAUUCAUUCAAUAAGUAGGGAUUUUAUAACUUUUUAAUAUCACUAGUCAAAAUUUAAAUAGUUUCAAUUAUGUCUGAGAGAUAAAAAAAAUAAUUACAAAUACUAAAAGAAAAUAAAACAAAAUAGAAAUUUACGAUAACAUAGCUAACACCGGCGAAAUUAUGUCGAUUGCUCAGACAUAAUAAAACAUUUUUUUUUAAGAGAUAAGUAGCAUGCUACUCGCUUUAUUUAUUUCAUUUAGAAAUAAAUUUAGCUAGAAAUAUGAAUCAACUAGGAUUCGAACUUAGAUAAUGUAGCUUAUUAUUUGGAGCUGUUUUUUUUCCCCUUGUUUUCACUAGUAUAGCUUGCCUAUAUUAUAGAGGUCACGUUGUUUGUUUGGUUUUUUUUUUUUUUUUGAGAGAGAGAUAUAAGUAGCAUACUAUCCGCUUCAUUUAUUUCAUUUAGAAAAUAAACUUAGCUAGAAAUAUGAAUCAACUAAGAUUCGAACUCGAGACCUCAGAUACCAACUAUUAAGUAUUUUGCCACUUGCGCUAGAAACGGUCGGUAUAGAGGUCACAUUGUUAUCUACUUGGUUUUGGUGAAUAGGGAUGAUUAAGAAUACGAUCAAAUUAACAUCUUGGGCAAAAAUUAAUUAAUCUAAAAUGCUUAAUUAUAUAGUUUAUUGCGCCUAUAUUAAUCUUGACAUUUGUUACAACACCAUUAUCUUUCCAAUCAACGCUCUGAGCUAGGUACCGCGGACAUGUUAACAUCCUCAAAUUAACGUCAUUUAUAGAGUCUGAUCUAAUAUUUCGUGGGAUAUAUAAUUAAACCAGUGUGUUGAGCUACAAACUCAACGUUUGCUUUAUAAGCAAAUUGAUUAAUGCCAAGAGUAUAGGAAUUUCUAGAUAGGCAUCGAUAUGGUCGACAUUGUUCUUAAUUAAAGAUCUAAAACCGGUGCAAUUUUUCAUCUUCGUCAUUGCAAAACUACUCAAUCUGACUCGACCAUCCAUUCUUCGAACUUCCUCGGAAUCAUCGGGUUCGCCAUGGAAGGCUGCCAACGGCGAAGCCCACAUCACACAAACAAACUGGAAAAGAAACAAAGCUAACUUGGAAUAAAUGUGGAAGUCAUAUACAUGGCACUAAUUAAAAAGCAGCUAUAUUUAGAAAGGCAUUUGUUGGUGCGGAACAAGGUCCUACCAUCGAGUUUAAGUAUCGUUGACUGAUUCAAAUUAAAUAAAUUGAAAGAUUGAAUAGUAAAUUAGAAUUUUGAAAGAUUAGAUAGCUGAUUCAAGGUGAUCAAUAAUUCAGAGAUAAGCUGCAUACUUUUUUACCGACAAAGAAAUAAAUCCUAACCCUAAAUGCGCGCGCACGUGCACAGUUUUCCUGUAAUAAGCACUAGUUCGUACUCGAUCGGGGUAAUUAAGCAACACACUUUUAAUACUCGAUCAUAUUCUUAUCAAGUCAUAGUAGAAUACACGUACGUCACAACACACGAACGAAUUGAUAUAUAAUAUCAUAAACAUUCAAACAACAUCCAAUACAGAGGACACUCGAUCGUGAGGGCGAGAAUCGCUCAAAUUGGAAGACACGUACGAGGAAUUAACACGAACCAUUUAAGCACGCAGAAUCCAAACAAGUUAACUCAAUCUCCACGCGCACGUCGACGUUAUUUAGUAGCUAUACGAGUUUAUAGUGUCGCGAACGGAUCGAUCGAUCACUUCAUCAAAGCCGAAUUAUAUAUGCAUACAUAGCUAGCUUUGAUCUGAAUUAUAUAGCGCUUAUGCCAUCAGAUCCCACGUCGGCGAGCUCGAGAGGAGUCGAGUUGAUAAUCGGGAUGACCGGCUGCUGGGCAAUACCACAUAAUCCUUCAACUGAAGAGACAUCUCUUUCCAAACGCCCGAACCCAUUUUCGCCCCAGUUUUUUCCCCACGAGUUCUUCAGUAUCCAAUACUUCUCUCCGGUAUUACUGUCCUCGCCAUAACCUAUGAUGGCGACGACAUGGUUGACUGCAGUUCCGCAAGGUCCCUUAAAGAUGCCACCGCCGACGUAAAGCUGGAAGUCCCUGGUGGCUUCGAGAUAGGAAGCUACCGGUUGCUUCGACACGGCAACCUUAAGACUGGUUUCGUUGUUUCUAGGCAGAUGUUGAUAAGCGUCGAUGUAAGCCGCAUUCGGCACGAUGUUGGACUCACAAUUGCGUUGAACUCCUGUAUAGGGAUAGGAAGACUCGGUUGCCACACCUCCAUUCCGUAUGAUGAAUUUGUAGGCUUGGUGCGCCCAGCCUCCACCUAUGCACCCGCUGCCAACGCUGCAAUCCAUAACCUCCUGUUCUGAUAGGGAUAUCAGUGCUCCUUUUUUGAUCUUGUAGAUUCCUUCCACCGUCGCAAUCGCAGCGAACGCCCAGCAAGUUUCUAUUCAAAAUUAAGGUUCACUUUAGCAUUUGCAAGAGAAAUUAAUUAUGUCCGUUAUUAAUUAAUUAAUUAAUUACGACAAAAGAAAGUAUAUACGCCACUUAUUAAGACAUAAUAAUAAUAAUAAUUAUGUAAUAACAUUUAAAUCUAUAUAAGAGAACCGUAUUAUUAUUAUCAUUAAAUUAUUAUUGUUGGGUACAAAUAGCGGUAAUAACUAAUAACUUUUUUUUUGUUAUUAGUACGCAUGCAGCACAAUAAAAUAAUAUGUAUUAUAAUAUAUAAUAUGUUAAAAUAUAAUAUCUUUUAUUAUAUUUAUAUAUUUACAUAGAGCUAGGCACCAAUACUAUCUAUAAUAGCAGGCUCCAGUACUAUAGUCUUGUCUUCAAUCUUACAAUAUUCAAAUUAAUGAUUCAUCCCGUUAAAACCUGGUCCAGCGUAUUUGAAGUUUUUAAAAGUAAAAUUUUAUAUUUUUUCGAUAUAGUUUACUUUAUGAUCAAAUCAUUUGAUAGAAAAUAUUUUAAACUAUCUAUAUCAAUAUCAACAUCCUUAAUCUUGAAUUUAAAAAUUCUAUCCUCAAAUUUUAAAGUUUAUUCAAUUUCAACCGUUCAUUUUGAUAUGCUUUACUUACUAAGUAAACAAUGUCGAAAAAAAUUAAAAUUUUAUUUUUUAGAACUUCAUAAAUUCUAGAUUAUAUAUAACAGUGUGGAUCAUUGAUUUGAACAUUUUAAGAUCGAAAAUAAGAUUAUAAUACUAGAGUAUCGACACUAUAUAUAGUAUAAUAGCCUAAUUCCGUUUAUAUAUAGGUAUUAUUGGGGGACGGUUUAUAAUUAUCAAGUUUCACUAUCUCACAUUCUCAUCCCAUAUCUGAUAUGAUUAUAUGAUAUAAUGCCCGCACACUGUUGGUGGGCUUAAGACAUAAACUUUCAAUUUAAAUGUGAAAAAAUUAUUUAUCUAAGGCAGAUGGAAUGGUAGACCGAGCACAUUUGUUCUAGUGUACGUUAACAUUUAUUGUUUCCGAAAACAAAGAAUAUUUUGGUACAAGAUAAAACAAUUGUAAAUAUGUAUUUGGAUACAUUCGAAGAUAUUUUAGAAGAUAUUCUUCGUAGCGUUUAGAUAAAAAAUCUAGAACAAUAUUUAAAUAUAUUUUUAAAAAUAAAAUAAUUAAUUUAUAUUAGUAUAUUUUAUAUAAAAUUAUUUCAUAUAGUAAUUUAUAAUAUAAUAUUUUAUGUAAUAAUUUAAUUUAAAAUAGCAUAUUUAUGUUAAUAUAUAUAAUAAUUUAUUUUCUAUAAUAAUUUAUUUUAUAUAAUUUAUUUAUAAUAUAUGUAAGGAAUAAAGUAUAAUACUAACAAUAUCCUUAUAAUUUUAAUUAAUAAUAUUAUAAAUUUUAAUACAAAUUAAAAAUAUUUGUAAUAUAUGAAAAAUGAUUUUAUAUAUAAAAUACUUAAUAUUAAAUAAAAUAAUUAAAUAUUAAUAAAUAAAUAAUAAAACUUAAUAAAAUAAAUAAUAUAUCAAAUUUAAUUAAUUUAUAUUAUAUAAUAAAAUUUAAGUAUAAAUAUAUUAUCAUAAAAAUAUUAAUAUAUUUAUNAUAUAUAUAUAUAAAGAGAAGAACAAAGUUGUGUUUAGUUUUCCUUCGAACCAUUUUUAACGGAUUGUUCCAGAAUAACCUGCUUUUAGCGGAACAACCCAUUCUCUUUAGUUCUUCCAUCGGUUGGUUAUAAAUUGGAGGAUAUACCGUCUUGUUCCAGAAUAUCUCCGAUACCAAAUACAGCCUAGAGGAAUAGUAAUGUAUUUCCUAUUCAAACUUUGGUUCCUAGGAGGAGAACUUUGUGGAAAAAAUGGAUUACUAUAAAAGGUACUAUGAAACUUUUUGAAAGAUUCAAGACAUGAAAAUUAAUUUUAAAAAAUGGAAUAAUGAGGUUAGAAGACUAUUGGAAUUUUAACUUAGGGCGUCCUAAACUGCUAAGUAGAUUAAAUUCUGAUGGCAUACCAUGUUAGACCGUCAAUUAAUUGAUUAUUUCUAAUAACUUAGGCUUUUAUUGAUAAUUAGUUGUUUUACAAAAUUAAGCUGAUUUAAUUACUAUAUUAUAGUCAACACUUCUUACCGCAUGUGCCUUGUUGUUUGACUUCUGUCACUGCAUCAUAGUCCCUCCAAUCUAUACUAUCGGGCACUGCGGACAUGUUUACAUCCUCAAAGGACGUCAAGGGCGCCUCUUGCUUCACGUUUAGGGGGAUAGAAGCACUGGUGUACUUACUCAGAAAUUCAUCAAAUGUCAUAUCAGCAAAUUGGUUGGUGCCGAGAGUGUACGAGUUUCCGCUCCGAUUAUUGAAGGUUUCAAUAUAGUUCACGUUAUCCUGAAAUAUCUGAAACCGCCGCCACUUCUCCGCAUCAUCUGCAUAAACACGGCCGAACCGAGCCAUCCAUUCUUCGAACCUCUGCAUCAUGGGAUGACUAGGAGAAGUUGCCCGGGGCGAAGCCCACAUCAGAGAAACAACCAUGUAAAAAAACAAGAGUAGAUAUUUGGAACCCAUGUGUAGCAGUACUAAUAAUAGCAGCUGCACUUGGAAGGGAGACUAUUUAUAUGAUCUAGCUUUCGUUGUGAGGAUGAGCUUCUCGCAUCGAGCUUAUAUAUAUAUAUAUAUAUACACUCAUAUAUAUAGAAGUGCGCGAUUGCUACAUGGAGUAUUAGUGGGAGAUAGAUGUGGACCAUUAUCGAAGGAAAAUAAUUGCCUUUCCUGUUUAAUAAUUAGUUGAGGGAUCCAACACUAGCUUGAUAGGUAAUUAGAAUUAGAUAGGUACAUUAAUUCAUAUCCGUUUUUAUUAACGUAAAGCUAUAUAUAGAUCCAUGGUUCGUACCCUCAAAUCAAUCUUUAAAAAUAAGGAUUGAACCCAGUUCUUAAAUUAUUGUCUAAUUCUAGACUUAUUAGAUAGCAUUCUAUUUUGAAGGAUCAAUUUCUUGUAUACUCCUGUAAGGACUGAGCCCUUGAUGAUUAAUAUCUAAGGUCUCAAAUUCGAACUUUAGUUAUUUUAUAUUUCUAGCAGAGUACAUUUCUAUAAAGCUAAACGAAGCUGAUAACUUGUUACCAUUCACUUUCUCAAAAAAAAAAAAAAAAAAGAAGAGAAAACUAAAAGGUUACUAAUAAGAUAAUAGCAGUAAUAAUAGUACAAGGAAAUGUAUAGAGUUCCUCUUGAUCAAUUAUUAGCUAUGACAAAUGAAUGAUUGGAUCAUUGAGGAAAAAAAAAANAUAUAUAUAUAUAUAUAUAUAUAUAUAUAUAUAUAAUGAAAACUCUAUUCAAACAUAUAUUUUUGGGAUGUAUGAUAUACACCUAUUCUUUCUAAGGUGCUAGUAGAAUCCAUUCCAUCUUUAAAAUGGAUGGGUGUAUAUCAUACAUCCUAAAUAGGGAUGUAUGUUUAGUAUUACUCUUUUGAAAUAUUUCUAGCCCCAUCAAUUGAGUUUACAUAUUUUAACUUUUAAGUUGAGUUAUCAUUUUAGCAAAAUAUUUUAAGAAUUUUCAGAAUUUUUCAAUAUUUCCAUGAAAUUUUAUAAUCUCAAUUACUUUUUAAAAUUAGUAUAAUUAAUUGCUAUAUAUCUGAUAGAGUGCUUUUUUAAAUUAAAUUCAUUUUUUUAGUUAAAUAACUAGGAAUUUUUAAAGUGAAAAUAUAAGAUGGCAAUUUUAAAAUGUCUUAUAUACAUUUGAGGAGGCCUCCGUUCAUCCAUUUAGUGGGUAGGCCUCCGUGCAUUUUUCUCAUUUAAUGAAAAUUUGAACUGAAAUUAUACUUAGAUAUUCUUGCCAUAACAACAUUCUAAAAAAAAAGAAAAUGUAUUUUGAUAUAGUUCCGACACAGACUUUGAAAAAAUAAAAAAAUUGACAAUUUUAUUGGUAGAUGUGAUGCGUUUGUAAAUUUAACGGUAUAAAAUAAUUCAAAUCUGAUGAAAUUUUUAUAGAAAAUUUUUUUCACUAUUUAGAGUAAGAUCAAUACCUCUAAUCUUAAAUUCAAAUCUUUUGUCAUCAUUUUUUAUGAGAUUUUUAUUUUCAAUCAUUAACUUUUAGACUACUCAUUUGAUAGGUAAUGAUGCCAAAAAAUUAUGAAAUUUAGCUUCAAAAUACUUUAAAUAAUGUAGAUCAACUCGAGCAGAGCCGAUCGUUGAUUUGGAAGCCGCACCAUUAAAAAUAACUUGGUAGCACGGAGGUCUCCAUGCUACCGAUAGUAUACCAGCCUUGCUUUCUUUCUCUCUCUAUAUAUAUAUAUAUAGAGAGAGAGAGAGAGUCCAGUUGUGAUACUAUCGAUAGCACCAAGGACUUAGUGCUAUUGAGUUUUCUACCGUUAAAUUUAACCGUUUGGUUAUUUUUACUCAUUAGAUUAUACUAUUCAAUCAACCACCCACUCAACUCUAGGGGACCCACAUCAUCCUAACCGCAUAUUUCUCAAUCCAAUGGCUAAAAAACUAAUAACACCAAUAACUUUGUGCUAUUGAUAGUGUUCCAGCCUAAUUUUAUCAAUAACAUUAAAUUAUUGGUGUUAUUAAAUUUUCAGUUAUUGAAUGAAAAAAAUAUACGGUUAUGAUGAUGCGGGCUCCUCGAGAAUUGAGUGAGUAAUUAGUGAGUUGUUAGUUGAGUUAUUAGUUGAAUCGGUCAAACUGGAAGCCACGAGGAACACGAACCACUUAAGCACGCAGAAUACAUAACGCACACAUCCAAACAAGUUAACUCGAUCUCCACGCACACGUCGACGUUAUUUAGUAGCUGUCGAGUUUAUCGUGUCGCGAGCAGAUCGAUCGAUCACUUCAUAUAUAGCUGAAUUAUACAUCGCUUCGAUCUGAAUUAUACAGCGCUUAUGCCAUCAGAUCCCACGUCGGAGAGUUCGAGAGGAGUCGAGUUGAUAAUCGGGAUGAGCGGCCACUCGGCAAUACCACAUAAUCCUUCAACUGCAGCGACAUCUCUUUCCAAACGCCCGAACCCCUUUUCGCCCCAGUUUUUUCCCCACGAGUUCUUCAGUAUCCAAUAUUUAUCUCCGGUAUUACUGUCCUCGCCAUAACCUAUAAUGGUGACGGCAUGGUUGACUGCAGUUCCGCAGGGUCCCUUAAAGACGCCACCGUUGUAAAGCUGGAAGUCCUUGGUGGCUUCGACAGCGGAGGCUACCGGUUGCUUCGACACGGCAACCUUAAGACUGGCUUCGUUCUUUCUAGGCAGAAACUUGUAAGCGUCGAUUUCAGCUGCAUUCGGCACGAUGUUGGACUCGCAAUUGCCUAGAACUCCUGUAUAGGGAUAGGAAGACUCGGUUGUCACACCUCCAUUCCGUAUGAUGAAUUUGUAGGCUUGGUGCACCCAGCCUCCACCUUUGCACCCGCUGCUAACGCUGCAAUCCAGAACCUCCUGCUCUGAUAGGGAUAUCAGUGCUCCUUUUUUGAUCUUGUAGAUUCCUUCCACCGUCGCAAUCGCAGUGAACGCCCAGCAAGAUUCUAUUCGAAAGAAAAAUUUUACUAUAGCAUUUGCAAGAGAAAUAUAUAUAUAUAUAUGUCCGUUAUUAAUUAAUUAAGGCAAAAGAAAUUAUAUAUGUCAUUUAUUAAGACAUAAUUAUGUAAUAAUAUUUAAAUCUAUAAGAAACCCGUAUUAUUGUUAUCAUUAAAUUAUUAUUGUUGAGUACAAAUCGUACUAAUAAAUAAUAAUUUUUUUUUAUUGUUGUUGUUAUUAGUACUUAGCACAAUAAAAUAAUUUGUAUUAAAAUAUAUAAUAUGUUAAAAUAUAUUAUCUUUUAUUAUAUUUAUACAUUUAUAUAGAGCUAAGCUCCUAUACUAUCUAUAAUACCAGUCUUUGAUACUAUAGUCUUGUUUUCAACUUUAAAAUAUUCGAAUUAAUGAUUCAUGCCGUUAAAAACUGAUUUAGGGUAUUUGAAGUUUUUGAAAUAAAAUUUUAUAUUUUUUCGAUGGAUUGCUUAUGAUCAAAUCAUUUAAAAAUUAUCAAUUUUCAAUGACUAGUAUGGUGAGUUUGUAAUAUAUAUAACGGUAUAAAAAAUUCUAAAUUUAUUCAUAUUUUUAUAAAAAAAAUAUUUUAAACUAUUUAGAUCAAGAUCAACAUACUUAAUCUUGAAUUUAAAAGUUCUAUCCUCAAAUUUUAAAAUUUGUUCAAUUUUAACUGUUCAUUUUAAUAUGAUUUACUUACUAAGUAAAUAAUGUCAAAAAAAGUUAAAAUUUUAUUUUUAAGAAUUUUAUAUAUUCUAAAUCAUAUGUUACGUUGUGGAUUAUUGAUUUGAACAUCUUAAGAUCGAAAAUAAAACUAUAAUACCGGAAGCAUCGAUACUAUAUAUAGUAUAAUAGCCUAAUUUCGUUUAUAUAUAUAUAUAUAUAUAUAUAUACUAUUGGGGACGGUUUAUAAUUAUCACAUUUGACGGUCUCACCCCAUAUCUGAUAUGAAGACACAUGAUAUAUGAUAUAAUGCCCGCACACUGUUGUUGGGCUUAAGACAUAAACUUUCAAUUUAAAUGUGAAAAAAUUAUUUAUCUAAGGCAGAUGGAAUGGUAGGCCGAGCACAUUUUGUUCUUGUGUUAACAAGGGCUGCGUUUGGUUGAAAAACUAAAUUUUGUAAAACAACUUUUGUUAUUCCCGAGAACAAAAAAUAUUUCGGUAAAAGAUAGAAUCAUUGUAAAUUUGUGUUUGGAUACAUUUGGAGAUAUUUUAAAAAAUAUUCUUACUAGCGUUUGAAUAAAAAGUCUAGAAUAAUAUUUAAAUAUAUUUUUAAAAAUAAAAUAAUUAAUUUAUAUUAGUAUAUUUUAUAUAAAACUAUUUCAUAUAUUAAUUUAUAAUAUAAUAUUUUAUGUAAUAAUUUAAUUUAAAAUAGCAUAUUUAUUUUAAUAUAUAUAAUAAUUUAUUUUAUAUAAUUUAUUCAUAAUAUAUGUUAUGAAUAAAGUAUAAUACUAAUAAUAUCCUUAUAAUUUUAAUUACUAAUAUCAUAAAUUUCAAUACAAAUUAAUAAAUAUAUAUCAUGUAUGAAAAAUUGAUUAUAUAUACAAUACUUAAUAUUAAAUAAAAUAACAAAAUAUUAAUAUAUAAACGAUAAAACAAAAUAAAAUAAAUAAUAUAUCAAAUUUAAUUAAUUUAUAUUAUAUAAUAAAAUUUAGGUAUAAAUAUAUCAUCAUAAACAUAAUAUUUAUAUUAAUAUAUUUAUUUAUAUAUCUAUUUAUCUAAUAAAAUAAAAAGAAGAACAAAUUUAUUCUUAGUUUCCCUUCGAACAAUUUUUAACAAGUUGUCCCAGAACAAUCCGUUUUGAUCGGAACAACCCCUUUUUUUCAUCUUUCACCAUUUGGUUACAAAUUAGGAAUAUGCCGUUUUAUUCCAGAAAAUCUCCAGUGCAAACGCAGCCUAGCUAGAGGAAUAGUAAUAAAUUUCCUAUUCAAACUUUGGUUCCUACGAGAGAGAUCUUUGUGAAAAAAAUGGAUUACUAUAAAAGGUACUAAUAAAAUGUUACUUUAAAUACCAUACUUUCUAAACUUUCUUCUAUUUAGGCUCGAAAUUUAUUUGACACAUCCAAGACACAAAAAUUAAUAAAAUGAAAGAGAAUUAAAUGAGGUUAAUUAGAAGCCUACUGGAAUUUUAACUCAGGGCCUCCUAAACUGCUAAUUAAGUAGAUUUAGUACUCAUGGCGUACAUGUUAGACAGUUAAUUAAUUGAUUAUUUCUAAAAACUUAGGCUUUUAUUGAUAAUUAGUUGUUUUACAAAAUUAAGCUGCUUUAAUUAAUAUAUUAUAGUCAACACUGCUUACCGCAUGUGCCUUGUUGUUUGACUUCUGUCACAGCAUCAAAGUCCCUCCAAUCUAUACUGUCGGGCACCGCGGACACGUUUACAUCCUCAAAGGACGUCAAGGGCGCCUCUUGCUUCAAGUCUAGGGGGAUAGAAGCACCGGUGUACUUACCCAGAAAUUCAUCAAAUGUCAUAUCAGCAAAUUGGUUAGUGCCGAGAGUGUACGAGUUUCCGCUUCGAUUAUUGAAGGUUUCGAUAUAGUUCACGUUAUCCUGAAAUAUCUGAAACCGCCGCCACUUCUCAGCAUCAUUUGUAUAAACACGACCGAACCGAGCCAUCCAUUCUUCGAACCUCUGCAUCAUGGGAUGACUAGGAGAAGCUGCCCGGGGCGAAGCCCACAUCAAAGAAACAACCAUGUAAAAGAACAAGAGAAGAUAUUUGGAACCCAUGUGUAGGAGAAGCUGCACUUGGAAUGGAGACUAUAUGAUCUAAUGAGGAUACGCUUCUCGUAUCGAGCUUAUACAUAUAUAUAGAAGUGCGUGAUUGCUACAUGGAGUAUUAAUUAGUGGGAGAUCGAUGCUGUGGAACAUUAUUGAAGGAAAAUAAUCGCCUUUCCUCUCUAAUAAUUAGUUUGAGGGAUCCAACGCUAGCUAGAUAUAGGUAAUUUAGAAUUAGAUAGGUACAUUCAUAUCCUUUUAUUAUCGUAAAAGCUAUAUCUAGAUCGAUGGUUCGUACCCUCAAAUCAAUCUUUAAAAAUAAGGAUUGCACCCAAUUCUUAAAUUAUUGUCUAAUUCUAGACUUAUUAGACAGCAUUAUAUUUUGAAGGAUCAAUUUCUUUAUAUACUCCUGUAAUGACUGAGCCCUUGAUGAUUAAUAUCUAAGAUCUCAAAUUCGAACUUUAGUUAUUUUAUAUUUCUCGCAGAGUUCAUUUCUAUAAAACAAAACGAAACUCAUAGCUUCCGACCCUUCUCUUUCUCAUAAACAAAAAAAAAAAGAAAAACAAAAAAAAAAACCUAAAAUGCUACAGAUAAAUAGUCGCAGUAAUAAUAGUACAAAGAAAUGUGAGAGUCUCUUGAUCAAUUAUGGCUAAUGACAAAUGAAAGAUUGGAUCAUUGAGGGAAAAAAUAUAUUGAAUCCCCUCCAUCAAUUAUAGACCAUUGCUCUUUGAUAAUAUAUAUAUAUAUAUAUAUAUAUAUAUAUAUAUAUAUAUAUAUAUAUAUAUAUAUAUAAUAAAAACUCUAUUCAUACAUUUUUUUUUAGGGUGUAUGAUGUACACCUACCCUUUCUAGGAUGCUAGUAGAAUCCAUCCCAUCUUAGAAUGGGUGGAUGUAUAUCAUACAUCCACACUUAGAAUAGGUGCGUGUAUAUCAUACAUGCUAAAUAGGGAUGUAUAUUUAGUAGGGAAAAUUUCAUAGAUGCCCCUGUAGGAGACCGAAAUUUCAUCAAUAGCCCUCUAAAAUUCAAAAUAUCAUGAAUGCCCUUCUAAAUUUAAAAAAUAUUCAUGAAUACCCCUACAGGUUAUGUACCGUUAGAAUCUAACGGAAUAAGGUGUAAAUACCAUUUCUGCCCUUGCACUGCUCCUUAACUAUAGGGAUAAUAUCACAGAUGCCCUUCUAGAAAUAGUUAAUUUCAUUAAUACCUAUCAAAAAUUGAUAAUAACACGAAUACUCUCCAACAUAUUAAAAAUUAUCACAAAUGCCCUCCACUAGUUAAUAUCCGUUAAAAUCAUUAAAUUUUUAAAAUAUCAUUUUUACCCUUUAUCUCUUAUCAAUAAUAGAAACACUAAUAGGUAUUUCAAGAUAAUUUUUAUAAAUCUAAAUUUGACUAUUUAAUAUAUAAAUAUUAAAUUAAUUUUUAAAUGAUAUAUAAAAAUUGUAUUUUAUAUAUAGUAUGUUUUUAUAUGGUUUUGGUUUUGUUUUUGGCUUCGAGUUUUGGUUCAAAUUCGAUUUGGAUAUAGACCAAAAUCAUAACUAAAUUUAAAUACGAUGAGAGUUCAUUUUUUUGUACUUAUAAUUGAAACUAUCCCGCUCAGCAUCGAUUAAGCUCAUCUCAUUCAAAAUUGAGUUCACAUAAAAUUGUAUACCUAUAUCAUUUCACAUUCCUAAUCAGUAAUAGUAAUUUGAAAUAAAUUAUAGAUUUUAUGUUUUUCCUAUUUAAUCAAAAAUAAAUUACAUAACUAUAUCAAUAUGCAUGCUUUUUUUAUUGAUUUUUUUAAAAAAAGAGAAUUUUGUUCAAAAGCUUAAAUAUAUUAUAUUUCAGUUUUUAAUGCAUUUAAUGCAGAUAAAAUUAUUGAGAAUAAUUUAAGCUUCCAAAAUUAAAGAAAGAUCGAAAAAUCCUCAACAUUUACUUUUAUUUAAUUUUUUAUACAUAGUUAAAAUAAAUGGAGCCACUAGAUUUGGUGAAAUCAUAAAAACCUUGAUAAAAUUUUUAUUUUUCAUACACUAAAAUUAGUUAAUUUUUUAAAAAACCAAAAGUUAAUGGGAUGUUAACUUAAAAAAAUAAAAGUUGAGGGAGCCAUUGAGGGGCUCUCCAUACAUUUUUAUUAAAGAGAUAGGUGAGGGUAAAUAGGUCAUUUUAAAAGUUAACCCAUCUUUAACCAUUAAACAACUAUGGUAAAGGUAAUAUAACUAACUGUAGGGGUAUGGGUGAUACUUUUUUAUAUUUAUAGGGGCAUAUAUGAUAUUUUAAACUUUAUAGUGGCAUCCAUGAUAUUUUCAGCUUUAGGAGGGUUAUCUAUGAAAUUGCCCCUAUUUAGUAUUACUCUUUUGAAAUAUUUCUAGCCCCAUCAAUUGAGUUUACAUACUUUAAUUUUAAGUUGAGUUAUCGUUUUAGUAAAAUAUUAAUUGUAAGAAUUUUCAGAAUUUUUAAAUAGUUCCAUCAAAUUUAUAAUCUCAAUUACUUUUUAAAAUUAGUAUAAUUAAUUGCUACAUAUCUGAUAGAGUGCUUGUUUAAAUUAGAUUCAUUUUUUUACUUAAAUAACUAGGAAUUUUUAAAGUGAAAAAUAUAAGUUGGCAAUUUUAAAAUGUCUUAUAUACAUUUGAGGAGGCCUCCGUUCAUCCAUUUAGUGGGUAGGCCUCCGUGCAUUUUUCUCAUUUAAUGAAAAUUUGAACUGAAAUUAUACUUAGAUAUUCUUGCGAUAACAACAUUCUAAAAAAAAAAUGUAUUUUGAUAUAGAUCUGAUACAGACUUUGGAAAAAAAAAAAAAAAAAAAGGUUCUUUGAUAUACUUAUCAUAUCAAUAUUCCUAAACAAUAAAUAAAUAAAUAAAGAUAUAGGUCCGAUAACAUAUUUGCUUACCUUUUUUUGUUACUGAAAAAUUUUCUGUUGGUCUUUGCAUUCAGAGAAAAAAAUGCUUAGUGUAUGUAUAUAUAUACACUAGAGUUAUUAUGUAUCCAGAAAAAUAAAGAUCUAGAAUUUGGUAAUUUUAAUUUUUUUGCCCUUAGAUCAAGAAUUAUAGAGUUGGGAUUAUAGUGGUCCCACCCUAAGAUUUAAUGGUCUCCUUAGCGGAAUAAUAUUAAUUCAAGAGUUAGAAAUGGUCAAAAUUUUGAUUAAAGAUUAAAAAUUGAAACCACCAAAUUAAUGAGUCCAUUCUCCCAACCCUUUAAAUUGUUAUGAUUGUGUCCUUAACCUCUUACACAAUUUUCAAUUGAGUACUUUCGCUCUCAAUUGUUGCAAUUAGAUCCUUAACUUGUUUCAUUAGUAUAUAUACAUGGUAUGAUUCAUGCAGUCGAAGUACUUGUUAAAAAAUAGGUCUUAUAAACGCUUAAAAUGUAGUGGAGAGGCAGGUUUAAAUUAUAUCUAGAUUUAACAUUUCAUUUAAAAUCAAAUCUGAAACUCAUAAUAGUUCAUAACAUGUCGUCACAAACUUUUAGCAGGUCCAAGACAAGAACUAAGUUAAAAUGGGUGGAAUUUUGAUUCUUUUUCUCCAAAUAACACAACAAUUUUUUGUGUAAAAGCGUCCGCCGCUCCAUAUAUAGCAUAUCUCAUCGGAAAAAAAAAAACAUUUUUAAAUUUCUUUUUUGUAUGCAUAUAUAGUAUAAGAUGAUAAGUAUUUUAAUUUUUGAUGAAUACGUACAAUUUUUUAAAAUAAUAUAAAUAAGUUAUAUAUGGUGAAUAAUUUAUUUUUAAAAAAUAUAUGAACUAUUAAUAAAAUAUAUUAACUUUUAUUCAUUUGAAAAAUAUAAUAAUAUUUUAGCAAAAUUAAUAUUUUAUAUAUAAAAAAAUAUAUUAUAUUAUAUUAAUAAUAUUAUAUUUUAUUAUAAGCGGUGUCUUGCUAUACCGCAUCCGUAUCUUACUUUCCAAAAACUGCUAAGUCAUCGUGUCCGAACUGUGUCGUAUUUCGUAUUUUGUGUCCGUGUUUCGUGUAUGUACCGGUGAUGCCUAACUAGCUAGCUAGCUAGCUAGAGAAAAUUGUCGAGCUUUAAUCAUCUAUAUAUAUAUAUAUAUAUAUAUAUAUAUAUAUAUAUAUAUAUAUAUAUAUAUAUAUAUAUAUAUAUAUAUAUAUAUAUAUAUCACACACGUAGUUCAUCACAGUAGUAAUAAGCAGCACACUUUUAAUUACUACUUGAUAUUCUUACUAGCUAGUCAAAGCAGAAUACACAUCGAUCACAACAUACAUAUACAAAUGGCUUGAUCAUAAUACGAUAAUUAUUCAAACUUGCGAAGGAACGCGACAAGGUGAGGAUCACUUGAUCAAAUUGGUAAUAAACGACGAGGAACUCGAAGCACCUCCUUAAUUAUUUGUUAUAUAUUGGUAGGGAACGAUCGCUUCAUAUAUAUAUAUAGCUAAAUCGCAGCUUCAACCUUAUGCAGAGCUUCUUAGGCUAUCAGAUCCAACAACGGCGCCGGCGAGUUCCGUAGGAGCAGUUGAUGUGAUAGUUGGGUAAACUAGCUGCUUGGUAAGACCGCAUAAUCCAGAUUUGGAAGCGACAUCUUUUUCCAAUCUCAUGAAGCCAUUUUCUCCCCAGUUUGUACCCCAUGAAUUCUUUAUUAUCCAAUACUUAUCUCCAGUACUGUUGUCCGCUCCAUAACCUAUGACAGUGAUGGCAUGGUUAAUCAUAACUCCGCAAGGUCCUUUAUAGAUACCGCCGGUGUAAAGCUGGAAUUUCUUAUCUGCUUCGACGGCCGCGGCAACCGGUUGCUGCGACACGGCGUUCAUAAGUUUACUUUCACUGCGAGGCAGAAACUUGUAACCGGUUAUAGAAGCUGCAUUGGGCACGAUGUUGGAAGCGCAAUUGCCUUGAACUUCUUUGUAGGGAUACGAAGCUUCCGUUGCCACGCCUUUGUUAGAUAUGAUGAAAUCGUAGCCUUUGUGCACCCAGCCUCCGCCUUUGCACCCAUAACUAACGCUGCAAUCCAGAACCUCCUGCUCUGAUAGAGGUAUCAGCGAUCCUUUUUUAAUCUUGUAGAUUCCUUCCACCGUCGCAAUUGCAGUGAAUGCCCAGCAGGAUUCUACUCCGAAAACAAAGAUUCAAUUAAUUGUUUAGCAUUUACAAUAGAAAUUAUGUCCGUUAUUAAGACAUAAUUAUGAAAACAUCCAAACAAUAGGUUUUCUUUUUCUCUUUCUUUUUUUUCCAAGAGAAAGGUAGCAAGUUGCCUCCUUCCUAUAUUUUUUUAAAAUAAAUAAAUUUAGAAAGAAAUUUAAAAUAAUUAAAUUUUGAAUUUGGAAUCUCGAAUAUCAACCGGCAAACUUUUAGCCAACUGCACUAGAUACGAUCGGCAGCAAAACUAAUUAGAAGUUAUUACGAAACCAAAACGUACUGCUUCUAACAAUCUCCUAAGAAGUGAAUUCCCACAGCAGAUAUAUAUCCUCUUGAAAAGAGGAUGGCCAAGUGAUUAACAUUGCGGUUUAUAAUAAAUUAAUUUUACAAUAAUUUAUUUUUAUUAAAUUAUAUUUUAUAUCAAAUUCAAUUAUUAUAUUUUUUUUUCACUAUCCUCUGCUAAUUAAUCAAACACAAUUUUAACUAUUUCUGAGAAUAGCAACAUUACAAACUAAAUAUAAUUUUAUUUUUAUUCUUGAUUAGCUCUUGAAUAGUAAAUUAUUCCAGAGAUAAAAAAAAUUUAUUCUAAUGUUUGUUAUCCUGAAACCAAAUAGGACCUUAUUAGUGCAUUCCAAUAGCAUAGACUACUGUUUUGUAAUUAGGUACACUUCUUUUUUCGGGGCGUGCGCGCUUAUUUUAGGUCUAUUUUUAGGUCAAAAAAUGAACUUCUUAAUGAUAUAUACUUGGUUGUAUUCACCAGUAUCAGCAAACAGUAACUUAUUGCACAGCAAGGCUAACUUCAUUUCAUGUGUUUCAAGUACCUUUUCGAGGAUAUUUAUUCACGUGCUUAUUUAAUUUCAAUGCUAGCUACAGUGAAGGUCCGUACUAUUCAAAACUUUUCUUGGGAAAAGGAACUCUAAAAGGAGACCAUAUAAAUUUGUUUUACUGAUAAUGCAUGAAAUGGUCUCUCUUUUUUUUUUUCCAAAAUAAACACGUCCAAUUAAUUCUUAUCACGUACGCUACUACCCUGUGACACUUCAUUUCGUUCGAGUACAAGCAAGAAUUAUUUAUUUUAGAAAUAGAUACAAAUUUUGAAAUUUACGUUUAGAUAAAAAUUGAGUUGUUCUCGAAAAUAAAAAAAAAAUAACGUUUGAAUAGAUAAGAUACAAUAAAAAAAAUAUUGAAUAGUUAUAAAUAGAAAAUAAUGAUAUUAUUCCUUAUAUUAUAUUUAAAUUAAUAUUUUAUAUUUUAUAUUUAAAUUUUUAAAUUUAAAUAUAUAAUUUUUAAAUUUUUAAAUUUAAAUUUAAAAUUUAAAAUCUCGAAUUCGAGAGUUUGAGCUAGCUAGGAGGGUCUUGUUCUAAUGUUAACUGUUAAAUAUAAAAAUGUUUAAACACCGUUCUCUAACAAUUUAAGCUUUUGAGUACAACGGUUGUUUCACAUGCUAUUAAUUUCCUUCCAUUUAAUUCAAGCCCACGUCAUGGCCGAUUAAAAAGUCUCGAGCCCAGACGUGAGGGGGACUACUAUGCUAUCGAAAGCACGGAGCCUUCCGUGCUUCCAGCUCGUUUUCGAUGUUGCAACUUUCGAAUUGUCGAUCGGCUCCGUUAAACUUGAUCUAGAGUAUUUGGAGUAUCUAGAAAAUAAAUUUUAUUAUUUUUUGAUAUCAUUUGCCUAGUGAUCGAAUGGGCUCAAAAUCAACAAAUUUCAAUGGCCGUAGUGUGCUGUUUGCAAGUUUAACGGUGUAGAAAUAUCUAAAUCACGUGAAAUUUUGAUAGAAAAUUCUUUAUACUAUAUAAAACAAGAUCAAUAUCUUUGAUUUAAAAUUUUAAUGUCAUAUUAUUACAUUUUGUAAGAUUUUUAUUUUCAGCCGUUGAUUUUGAGCCCCUUCGUUCACUAGGCAAAUGAUAUCGUAAAAUCAUAAAAUUUAUUUUCUAGGUACUUCAAAUACUCUAGAUCAAGUUUAACGGAGCCGAUCGACGAUUCGAAAGUCGCAACAUCGAAAACGAGCUAGAAGCACGGAAGGCUCCGUGCUUCCGAUAGCAUAGUAGCCUCACUCUAUAUAUAUAUAUAUAUAUAUAUAUAUAUAUAUAUAUAAAUAAUACGUACUUAACACUUCUUACGGUGUAUGCCUUAUUGUUUGACUUUUAUGAUAACAUUAUAGUCCCUCCAAUCUAUACUUUGAGGCACUGAGGACAUUUUACGUUCUCAAAUUAUGUCAACGGCGCCUCUGACUUCAUAUUUAGAGGGACUGAUUUUAUGUUCAUGGCAUGUCAUGUUAGAAUGUCGCUUAUCUUUAAAAACUUAAACUUACAUGUGAAACUAGCUAGUUGCUUUACAAAAGGACACUGCUUUAAUAUAUAUUACAUUUAACAUUUCUUACCGCAUCACUUAAUGAAUGAAGCAGGUAGCAGCUUGCUACCUAUUUCUUAAAAAAAAAUACUUCUUACCGCAUGUGCCUUGUUGUUUGACUUCAGUGACGGCACCAUGGUCCCUCCAAUCUAUGCUCUUAGGCACCGCGGAUAUAUUUACAUCCUCAAAUGAUGUCAAGGUCAAUGUCUCUGACUUCAUUUUUAGAGGGACAGAUGUACCGGUGUACUUAGCUAGAAAUUCAUCAAAUGUCAUAUCAGCAAAUUGGUUAGUGCCGAGAGUGUACGAGUUCCCGCUUCGAUUAUUGAAGGAUUCGAUAUAGUUCACGUUAUCCUGAAAUAUCUGGAACCGCCGCCACUUCUCCGCAUCGUCUGUAUAAACACGAUGGAACCGAGCCAUCCAUUCUUCGAACCUCCGCAUCAUGGGAUCAUCCGGUAGGCUACGAGAAGCUGCCCGUGGCGAAGCCAACAUUACAGAAACAACCAUGUAAAAUAACACAAGUUGAAAUUUGGAACCCAUAAUAUCACCUACACUUUGGAAUGGUUUAAUUUCGUUUGUGUGGAUGAGCUCCUUGCCAAAUCGAGCUUAUAUAGAAGUUCGUGACUACAACUAGAAGCAUUAGUAGGAGAUAGAUGCUGUGGAAAAUAAUGGAAGAAAAAUAAUCGAAGGGCCUAUUGAAAGCGGCCUUUUGGCCGGUGACAAUUAGUUGAGGAAUCCAAAGCUCGGUAGAUAUUUAACAAUUAGAUACCUGGAUCAAAAUCCUUUGAACAAUUAGAUGUUUACUGCUAUAAGCUAGAACUUAUAGAAACAGCACAACGGUAAAAUUUUCAAUGAGUUGUAUAGAUCAUCUGAAAAAAAAGCUCGAGUAUCUCACAAUAAUGCACUAAUGUUGUUUAAAUUUUUGUAACCGGAGGUUUCAAUUUGGGAGAUCAAUUAUUACUGUGGGCCUACUCAGCCCUAGUAAUUAUAACCUAUAUUUGUUUUACACGUAACUUCUAUUAUACAUUCAAUAAAACGUGUAGGUAAUACCCUGUACAUUCCUUUCACAAAAAAAAAAUCACAAAGCUAUAGAUUAUUUUCAAUUCGAUCACAAAACAAGUAAAGAAAUAUGACAAUAUUUGAAACGAAAUCUUUAUGGCCCAAUGCUUGCUCUUGCAAGUAUGAGUAAAUAGAAAUAGAAUUUGUGGCAAAUAAUUGAUUGUUUUAACUGUGUGCGUGCGUGUGUGUAUAUAUAUUGGAUCCCUUAAUCAAUUCUAUACGUUAAAUUAUGUUAUUCUAUCAACUAUCCACUAAAUCUUAGGAGACUACUAUCAUUUCAAACCUACAAUUUUUUAUCUUAAGGGUUAUAAAGUUAGUGGUAAAAAAGUACAAAUAUUAUUAAUAUUAUUCCAACACAAUUAUAUAAAUGUAUACGCAUAAAUUGCACCUUAAUUUCCAUGAUUAGAUUAAUAAUUAUAUAUUGUGAUGAUGUAAUUAUCGACUUUUACAUUCUUGUUCGAUUUUCUCUUCAAGGUGACCGCAAAGCAUUGCUCUUAUGGCUAGUCCUUAAUUCACAUCAAUCAUUAUAAUCAUCUAGCUUCCAUGAUUCAUAAGUUUUUUCGAUCGACCCGACUUUAAUUUUAUGUGUAAUUUAAAAAUUGUUAGUGUUAUUAAUUUAAAAGAUCAAUUUAAUUAAGAAUCUGCUUAUGAAUAGUCUUAAAAUUGAUAACUAUGCUGUGAUGGAUACAGAUUAUGUUUUUUUGAGAAAAAGAUAGCAUACUAUUAAUUUCGUUUAUUAUGUGGAGCGUAGAGCUUAUAAUAAUUGAACCCAUGCGUUAAUGCGUUGUAUCCAAAGUAGGAGAAGGACUAGGUGANUAUAUAUAUAUAUAUAUAUAUAUAUAUAUAUAUAUAUAUAUAGAGGUUGAGUAGUUGAUAGGCGUUUGUCAAUUGGCAGCUGCAUGUGUACCACAAUCUGACCUAAAAUUGAUUUAGGUACAUAAAUAGCUCCUGUAUUGUAAAAGCUCUAUAUAAGGUAAAUUCACAAAGCCCUCUUUUACAUUACCCCACGUCUCAAUUACCUCUUAGUAAUCGAAUUGUUGGUAUAUAUCUUACUACAGAGAUUGCAAACCCACCAUUCUAAAUCACGAUUUCGAAUUGCUCAUUCUGAUAUCCACCGAUUUCUUAUCAGAAUAGAAAAAAGUUGCAAACUGAUGGAGAAUUGAAAAAAAAAGGGGCAUGCACAUAAUUAGAUUAGAAGAGCAUGAGCGAUUCAACAGGAACGAUUCAACUAAUCCUGUGUAGCUGUGCAACUUUCCACAAUAUAUGCCCCAUUAAUUUUAGGUAAUUUUAAAGGAGGCACAUUAAGGUCGAGGGAACUGGUGUCAAUUGCAAGUACUUGGGGGAUUAUCUGGCUUAAACACAACAGGAGUAUUUUUUAGAAAAUGGAGGUAUUGGUGGGAAUAACCAAGAAUUACUAUUCUCGGAUAAAAAAUUAGUGUUUGGGUAUAAAAGGGGGAUAAGGGCCUAUUCCUAUCACUAUGUAGCCUAAUUUACUAUCUAAUUAAAUGAAGCAGUGGCAUGCUACUAUUUCUCAAAAAAAAAAAAAAAAAAAAAAAAAAAUAAAAAAAAAAAAAAAAAAAAAAAAAAAAAAAGGGUAAUUUUUACUGAAACCAAAUUCACCUUCUGUUUCUCUUUUCUCCUUUUCUUUUUCUUUUCUUUUCUCUCGUGUUUUCUUGUAGACUUCCUUAACUGAUGUCGAAACACUGUAUUUUAUUUUUAAUUAAUUGACGAUUUUUUUUUCCUCUUUCCAAAAGGAAAAAAGAAAAGAAUCUUUAAACUAAGAUGUAUGAAUUUGGUUUCAAGGUAAGGAUGAGGAUUAAAAUUUUCAUUAUUUUACCAAAAAGUCUCCACCAUCCUUAUAUUUUUUGAGCAAGAGAAAUAAAAGAAAGUAAACUUUUCUAUAAGUUUUUUGAGAAAUUAACUCAACUAGAAAUGCGAAACAACUAAUUUUUAAAUUUAGAAUCUUUGGUACCAACCAUUAAUUAGUCUCAGAUAUCAAUUAUUAAAUCUUUAACCAAUUUCACUAGAUACAGUCAGUACGUAGUAGUCUCUAUCUGCUUAUUGAUGUGAUGAGAUAGUGUGUUGGAUUAAUAAAGUAAAUUUUGGACGAACCCUGAAUUUUAGCUUGCGGUCGUAGUUUCUACUUAUAGCCUUCUGUGUGUGCGUGUUAAUGUCUAACGUGAGUUGGACCAGAAAUAGAUAAAAAUUAUAGGACUCAGAAGACAAAACCUUCCACUAGGCUUUUCUAGUAUACCAAAGGAACAAAUUAAACGAUCUUAUAUAGCAAUAUGAAUAAACUUCUCCUAUAUAGAUAUAGUCCAUAUUUUUAUCUGUGUUGGAACCCAAUUAAGUAAUUUACAUUAACCUCAUCCUACAAAAUGAGAUAUAAAUAGUUCACAGUAAGUAAACAGCUCACUUCAACUAAUACUUGAUAUUCAUGUCAAAUUAAGCUGAGUACCCUCGCACAAAGUACAAACAGUGGGAUAAUUAAUAAUACAUAUUCAAACUCGGAAUACGAAGCAAGUAACGAGCGAGGGAGAGAACCAUGCACACAACAGCCCUUUUUGUGACUUAAUUACAAGCUUAUACAGGAGCAAACAAGCACUUAAUUAAUUAGAUAGAGCUAGUUAUGCUGUCCGAUCCCGUGUCAGAGAGUUCGGAAUGAGGCAUUGAUGUGAGAGUUGGGUAGAGGGCGUACCGGGCAAUACCACAUAAUCCAGAAAAUGAUCCGGAUUCUCUUUGCAGCCUUAUGUACCCAGCUUCGCCCCAGUUUUGGCCCCAUGAGUUCUUUAUGAUCCAAAAUUUGUCUCCAGUCGUAUCGUCUUCUCCAUAUCCUAUAAUCGUGAUGGCAUGGUUAAUUUUGGUUCCACAAGGUCCUUUAAAGAUACCACCGCGGUAUAACUGGAAGUUCUUAUCGGCAUCGACUGCAGCAGCAACCGGUUGCUGCGACACAGCAUUCAUAAUGCUUCUUUCAUUUUUAGGAAGAAAUUUAUACCCAGUAAUGUAAGCUUCAUUGGGCACGAUAGUGGCGUCGACGCAAGUGCCUAUAACUCCAUUAUAAGGAUAGGAAGGCUCAGUUGUCACUCCUUUAUUAGCUAUGAUGAAAUCGUAUCCUUUUUCCACAAAGCCACCACGUUUGCACCCGUAGCUGUGACUGCAAUCUAGAAUUUGUUGUUCUGACACAUCUGGCAAUAUUCCUUUCUUGAUUUUGUAGAUCCCUUCCACCGUCGCAGCUGCCACAAACGCCCAACAAGAACCUAUAUAUAUAUAUAUAUAUCAAAAGAGAGAUUCAUAUUAGCUUCUACUGGAGAAAUUUGUGGAUUGCUUAAUACCAGAAAACAUUCGAACAAUUGAGCUUUUAUAUAUAGUUUUUCUAUAUAAAACCUAUAUACAUUUGCUAUGAAAAGAGAAAAUUUUCAAUCACUGGUUGUGACGGAAGGUUAAGCUACUAAAGAAUAGUACUCUCAAUCUCAAAAAAAGUAUUUUUUAACCUUUAUUUUCGACACUUCCCUUAAAUUUAGAUUCAAGACAAUUUGGUAGGCCCAAAAACAUGAAAUUGAAUUAAAUUGGAGAAAAUUAAGGAGUACACUGGGAUUUAAAUUUGCGGUCUUUGAUUGUAAUACCAUAUUAAACAAUCAAUUGUCUCUAAAAGCUUAAAAUUUAAGAUUUAGUAGAUGAUUAAUUGGGUGUUUCACAAAAUUAAAGUGCUUUUACAUAUUAUACUGAACAUUUCUUACUGCAUGUGCCCUGUUGCUUCACUUCUGUGACAGCACGAUCAUCCCUCCAAUCAACACUUUGAGGCGCCGAAGACAGGUUUACAUCCUCAAACGACAUCAAGGGCUCCGACUUCUGAUUUGCAGGGACAGAUAAACCAGUGUAUUGAGCCAAAAAUUCAUCAGUCGUCAUAUCAGCAAACUGGUUAACACCGAGAGUGUACGAGUUUCCGCUGCGGUUAUUGAAGGUUUCAACGUAGUUCACAUUGUCUUGAAAUAUCUGAAACCGGCGCAGCUUCUCGACAUCGUCAUUGUAAACUCGACCGUUCUCGGCCAUCCAUUCUUCAAACCGCUUCAUCAUGGGAUCACUGGGUUGGCCGCGAGAAGCUGCCGAUGGCGAAGCCCACAUCAAACAAACCAUCAGGUGAAAAACCAGUAGGUGAAACUUAAAAGCCAUAGCACUAAAUAGCAGCAAUACUUUGGAAUGGAAACUACAAGAGUUUUCGUUGGUGAGGAUGAGGUCCUCGCAUAGAGUUUUUAUAGAAGUACGUGGCUACUUGUUGGAGCAUUAUGAAUACAGAUCGAUGCUGGGGAAAAUAAUUCGAGGAAAAUAAUCGAAGGGGCUGUAGUUGAGGGAUCCAAAGCUGGGUUGAUCCAAAUCCUUUUAUAAUAUCAUAAUUUUACGUAUAUGCCAUUAUUAGUGCACAACCGACCGAACGGGUUGGUGAGUUACCAAAUUAAAGAAAAGUAGAAUCUGUUCAAAUUAUUUCAGGACCGUUCCCAUUAUUCAGCGUACGUAACUAAUUAUAUAUGUGGUAUGCUCACAAGUGAUUGAAAUUAUUAAGCAAACAAUGUAUUGAGAACCCCUCAUACAUGAAUUAUGAGAUAGUGUGUUGGAUUAAUAAAGUAAAUUUUGGACGAACCCUGAAUUUUAGCUUGCGUACGUAGUUUCUACUUAUAGCCUUCUGUGUGUGUGUGUUAAUAUCUAACGUGAGUUAGACCAGAAAUAGAUAAAAAUUAUAGGACUCAGAAGACAAAACCUUCCACUAGGCUUUUCUAGUAUACCAAAGGAACGAAUUAAAUGAUCUCUUAUAUAGCAACAUAAUUAAACUUCUCCUAAUAGUCCAUAUUUUUAUGGGUAAAAUUAUAUUGUUACCUCCUGAACUUUUAGCAAAGUUUUCACUUUAUCCCUCGAACUUCUAAAAUGGACAUCUAAUACUCUAAAUUCCAAUAUUUUGUUCAUGUUACUCUUUCCGUUAGUUUUUUCAUCAAGCUCCGUUAACCGGAAACUGACGGAAGGGAUAAAACGAAUAAAAUAUUAGAGUUUAGGGUAUUAGAUGUUUAUUUUAGAAGUUUGGAGGGUUAAGUAAAACUCGCCAAAAGUUCAGGAAAUAGCAGUGCAAUUUCACAUAUGAAAAAUUAAGGACCUAUUUAGCUCCUUAAAAAAUAGUAGAAAACUAUUUUUUGCGGAAAAUUUUUUUGUGAAAAAAGAGAAUUUUAAAUUUUUAUUGUUUGCUUCGACAAAAAAAAAAAAAAAAAGUUUUUCAUUCAUGCAUGUUUGGUGACAAGAAACAAAUGACGAGAGAGUGAGUGAGUAAUAGCUUGCCAGCGCGAUGCAGCAUAGCGUACGCAGCAGCCGUAACUUUCACGCGUGAUGGGGCAGUAGUUUGUGGACGCGACAUAGCCAUAAGGCAAUGGUGGCGCGGGCAAGAUGCAGUCGGAUUGGUGGCAACGAUAGCAGCAGAAUGCCGAUGUAGACGGAUAGGGAGAGAGAGAUGGUAGACACCGCCCGUUGCAAUUACGAGAUAAUGGGUAGAAAGUAAAGAAAGAUUCUUUUUUUUUAUAUGAGUGUAGCUAUCAUACAUUUAUGAAUAUAAACUCUUUUAUAUUUAUAAGCUUUUUACCAUUAAAUCUAUUUCUUAAUUAUUUUCACUCGUUAGAUCAUACUAUUUAAUUAAUCACUCAUUCAACUUUAGGAGGCCACCAUCAUUUCUAACCGCACAAUCAUUUAUCAACCGGUAAAAAAUUUAGAAAUACAAAGAAAUCUAUACUUAUAAGAGUAUAAUAGUACUAAUCCUUUAUAUAUAGGGUUAAUUUUAUACAGAUCCCUACAAAUAUAGUGAAUAACAAAUAUAUUCCUACAAAGUUCAAUUUUCAUAUGUUGUCCCUACACCGACCGUCCUUAGAGCAAGUGGCAAAGGGUUUGGUGGUUGGUGCUCGAGACCCAAAUUCGAAUCCUUGAUUCAGAUUUCCAACUAAGUUUAUUUCUAAAUAAAAUAAACGAAGCGGGUAACAUAUGUUGUCCCUACAAAUGUUCUGAUAUUUUCAAAUAUAUUCCUCUGAUUUAUUGCUUUUAGAAAACUGUUUAUAUUUUCAAUUUUGCCAUCACAAAUAUAUCCCUUCAAAAACUAUAACAAAAUAAUAUAAAAGGGUAAAAAUAUUAAAAGCUAGUUAGAGUUAAAUAUUUAAUCUAUGGUUAACUAAAAUUUUCUAACGAAUUCUACUGGUAGGGACAUAUUUAAAAAUAUCAUGAUUUUGUAGGGACAAUAUAUGAAAAUUAAACUUUAUAGAAGUAUAUUUACCAUUCAUUAUGUUUGUAGGAAUCUGUAUGAAAUUAACAAUAUAUAUAUAGGACGGGUUCGGAUUCGGGUCGAGUAUAGUCAAAAUCCAUAUCCGAAUUCAUAUCAAUUUUCCAUCAAGCUUCGUUAAUCGGAAACUGACAGAAAGAAUAAAACGAAUGAAAUAUUAGAGUUUAGAGUGUUAGAUAUAUAUCUAUUUUAGGAGUUUGCAAGGUUAAGUGAAACUUGCCAAAAGUUCAGAAAGUAGCAGUGCAAUUUACCCCGUAGAACUCUUGACUAUAAAUUAUUUUAUUAUAAUAUGUUACUUAUAAAUUGACUAUUAACCCUCAACUUAGUGAUCAUGCUUGAUUUUGAAUUUAUAUAUAUUUUUUAUCCUAAAAUAAAUUAUACCAUAAUUUAUCCUACAUUUUAUUGUAGUAAAAUAAAAACGAAAAAAAUGAAUUAGAGUGGCUUAAAAAUAAGAAAAGUGCGAUACUAAUUACCUACGAUACUCGAACACUCUACUAUCCUUAUUUACUCGCUAAUAUGGUUGAUUUACAAUAGGUGUACUCACUCAGAUAUAGAUAUUUUAAUUCUUAGUUAAUUUUCUAUACUACUCGUUUGUCCUUUUUAUCUUUAGAAGUAUUGUUAUAAAAAAUGCAUUUAUUUUCUGUAAAAUUAUGCAAUGUAACUUUAUUGUAGUCUAAAAUAAAAUUUGUGUACUUCAUUUCAGCCAAUUAAAAAUUUUUAAUAUAAAAAUAUAAAAUAAUAUUUUAUAAUACUUUAGAACAAUGUUUCUAAAGUAUGAUAAAUUAUGAUAUGAUUUAUUUUAGUAUAAAAUAUAUAUAUAUAUAUAUAUAUAUAUAUUCAAAAUCAAGUAUGAUCACUAACUUGAAAUUUAGUAGUAAAUCCAUAAGUAACAUAUUAUAAUAAAAUAAUUUAUAGUUGGGGUAAAUUGCAUUGUUACCUCCUGAAUUUUUGGCGAGUUUCACUUAACCCCCCAAACAUCUAAAAUAGACAUCUAACACCCUAAACUCUAAUAUUUCAUUCGCUUUACCCCUUCUGUCAGUUUCCGGUUAACAGAACUUGACGGAAAACUGACGGAAGUGGUAACAUGAACAAAAUAUUAGAAUUUAGGGUGUUAGAUCUCCAUUUUAGGAGUUCAAAGGGUAAAGUAAAAUUUCGUCAAAAGUUCAGGGGAUAACAAUAUAAUUUACCCAUAUUUUUAUCGUGUUGGAACCCAAUUAAGUAAUUUACAACCUCAUCCUACAAAAUGAGAUAUAAAUAGUUUACAGUAAGUAAACGGCACACUUCAAUUUUUACUUGAUAUUCGUGUCAAAUUAAGCUGAAUACACUCAGACAAAGUACAAACAGUGGGAUAAUUAAUAAUACAUAUUCAAACUUGGAAUACAAAGCAAGUAACGAGCGAGGGAGAGAACCACACAACAGCCCUUUUUGUGACUUAAUUACAACCUUAUACAGGAGCAAACAAGCACUUAAUUGAUUAGAUAGAGCUUGUUAUGCCCUCAGAUCCCGUGUCAGAGAGUUCGGGAUGAGGCAUUGAUGUGAGAGUUGGGUAGAGAGCGUACAAGGCAAUGCCACAUACUCCACUGUAUGAUCCGGUUUCUCUCGCCAGCCUCAUGUACCCAGCUUCGCCCCAGUUUUGGCCCCAUGAAUUCUUUAUAAGCCAGUAUUUUUCUCCCGUAUAAGAGUCUGCUCCGUAUCCUAUAAUUGUGAUGGCAUGGUUAAGUUUAGCUGCACAAGGUCCUCUGUAGAUACCGCCGCGGUACAACUGGAAGUUUUUACCGGCAGCGACUGCAGCGGCUACCGGUUGCUGCGCCACAGCAUACAUGAUGCUGCGCUCGUUCUUAGGAAGAAAUUUAUAACCAGUAAUGUAAGCUUCGUUGGGCACGAUACUGGCGUCGUAGCAUUGGCCUUUAGCUCCAUUGUAAGGAUAGGAUUGCUCGGAUGUCACACCUCUAUUCGCUAUGAUGAAAUCGUAUCCUUUUUCCACCCAGCCACCGAGUUGGCACCCGUAGCUGUAACUGCAAUCUAGAAUUUGUUGUUCUGACACAUCUGGCAUUAUUCCUUUCUUGAUUUUGUAGAUCCCUUCCACCGUCGCAGCUGCGACGAACGCCCAACAAGAACCUAUAUAUAUAUCAAAAGAGAGAUUCAUAUUAGCUUCUACAGGAGAAAUUUGUGGAUUGUAUACAACCAGAAAACAUUCGAAAACAUUCGAACAAUUGAAUGUUUAUAUAUAGAUUUUUCCAGAAAAAAAAAAAAAAAAUCUCAGGCGGUAUUCCAAGCUCUGUGUUUCUUUUAACUUCUUUUCACUAGCUAGCGUGUCAUUCCGCGUCCGAGUCAAGUUCUUAUUUGUUUUACUGAUAGAAGGUUAAACUACUGGAGCACCAUUUUUGACUAAAUAUCAUUUCAUCUCACAUCUUAUUUGAAGAUUUGUAGUAGGUGAUACUCAUGCUGAUGCAUUUUUUAUUGGUUUAGGGCCUGAACUUUGAAUUUUAAAAUAGGGAAAAUAUGGCUAUUUUUAUCAAAAAUAAUUAGUAGAUAAUUAACUGGGUGUUUCACAAAAUUGAAGUGAUUUCAUAUACUAUACUACUGAAAAUUUCUUACUGCAUGUGCCCUGUUGCUUGAUUUCUGUUACAGCACGAUAAUCCCUCCAAUCAAUACUUUGAGGCACUGAAGGCAUGUUUACAUUCUCGAACGGCAUCAACGGCUCCGACGUCCGAUUUGCAGGGACAGAUAAACCAGUGUAUUGAGCCAAAAAUUCGUCGGUCGUCAUAUCAGCAAACUGGUUGACACCGAGAGUGUACGAGUUUCCGCUGCGGUUAUUGAAGGUUUCAACGUAGUUCACAUUGUCUUGAAAUAUCCGAAACCGGUGCAGCUUCUCGACAUCGUCAUUGUAAACUCGACCGUACUCGGCCAUCCAUUCUUCAAACCGCUUCAUCAUGGGAUCACUGGGUUCGCCGCGAGAAGCCGCCAAU